UGGAUCAUUUGAAGCCCCCACGACAAGCCAAGUUCGGUCCAAGCUCAGUCAGCCCAUCUUUAGUUGUUGUCCAGUUGAAAUUACUCCAGCAGCAGGCCCAUCCAAUUCAGCUUAUUCAAUUGAAUUGAAGCCCAAAUUUUCCAGCACUUGAAGCCCAAAUCAGUGAGGUCCAGCAGCCCGCUUUGCAAGCCCAGUCCAAGAGCAAGCCCAUUCCAGUGCAAGAACAAAUCUCAGUUGGGCUGAGAUUUGUUGGGCCAAGUCUUAAGGCCCGGUCCAAGCCGCCGGUGUUGUCGAAAGUCCGAUUUCGGCCGCCGUCGCGUCGCCGUUGCGGUGAUUCGAUCUCCGCUUUUGUCAAGUGAGUUUUACUCACUAAAGCUUUAUUAGUUUGCUAAUUAUGUCUUAAGGUUGGUUAGAUUUAAUUAAGUGCACUUAGGUGGUUAGAUUAGGUUAGAACAAUUAAAUUUAGUGACUUAAUAAUGCAUGUUAGGUGGUUAGCUAUAGCCAUUAUGGAGUAGGAAUGCUCUAGUAUUUAUUGAAUGCAUCUCGGGAUUUUUCCCAACCCGUUUCGGGCUCCAAUAAGGCAAUAUAGGCCUAAAUUGGAUUUUUAAUGUUUAUUUAUUUAUUUUCGAAAUUUAUUUAUUUAAUUAAUUAUUUUUCCGGAAAUUCAACCGGGAUGGCCGGUGACCGGAAUUUCGUGCCGAUUGUCGUGGUGCAGACCGUUUAUUUAUUUGAGCUCUACGUUGUGUGGAAUUGAAUUUAUUGUGGAAUUUUAUGAAUUGUCCUAAAUUGUUUGUUAUUGAGUAUUUGAUUGGUAAUGGCUAAGCAUGGAUAUAUAGCGCCAGUACGUUGAUGGGCUAUAUAGUAGGAAGAAUGGUGAGACCAAUCAGGUACGAUGUUAUUGGACAUACGUGGUUCGGUGAUUGGAAGUAUCACUGGCGAAAACGGCGCCUUAAAGAACGCACGUAAAUGACUUAUAGACACACGUGGUUCGGUGAUUAUGGGAAUAUCACUGGUGAAAACGGCGCCUUAAAGAACGCACGAUGUUGUCUAUAGCCGAUGUCACCUUGGCGAAAACGGCGCCCUUGAGAAGACACGUGGUUCGGUGAUCAAGGUUAUCACUGGUGAAAACGGCGCCUUAAAGAACGCACGGUGUCGGCGAUCGGUAUGUCAUUGGCGAAAACGACGCCCGAGAAACAUGUGAUUUGGUGAAUGAGUACACCACUGAGAAAGCGUGGUACGAGUGGGAAUGACCGAGAGAGGGUCUAAUUGACAUGUAAUCGACUUAGUCGAUUGGCCAAUGUUUGAUCGUAUGUCGUGAAUUGUUUGAAUAUCUGUGUUUAACCUUGAAUUGCAGGUUGGAACUGAGGCUAAGGUAAGUCCUCUGACUCGUGUUGUGCUUAGGCAACCGGAUGGCGUAUUAGUUUAUUAAUCGAGUCUUAGUGGGUAGGACUCGCUGAGACGUGGUCUCAUUGGUUAUUGAAUAACCAUUUCAGGACCCUGAGGAGAAUCUAAGGAGGAGGAACCUGAAGAUGGAGAAAGACUUUUGAGGAAGAAGAUGAUCCAGAGAGGGAUCUUAAGUAUAACCCGGAUGUGGAUUGAGAUCCCGUCCCUUUUUGUGAACCCUGUCUUGGUAUAGAUAGGUGUGAGACUUUUAUGCUGUAAAUAGUAUUGUAAAUAUACCAUGAGUGGUGAUGUUAAAGAAAGUGUGGUUGUAAAUUUCAAUAUGAAAAAUAUGGCCUACUUUCCUAUCCCAUUGUUUUAUUGUCUGGGGAUUUAUAACUGCUUCCGCAUGUGCUUAAUAAAAAUAAAGGGUCGGCGAUACAUAGUCCUGGGAUAUCGCAUUAUAAAAUCGACCAAGUAGAAGGAUGUGCGCGCGUCCGAGGAUCGGGGCGUGACAAUUCUUGAGCUUUAGAGGCUUAGGUACACAUAAGAUUCUUACUUCAUGUCUUCCAUCCAUUUUCCAAUCCAUUUUAACUCAAUAUGAUUUAUGAAAUUCUGAUCUUCAAUAACCAAAUAACAACCGAAUUCAUGCUUAUAUUUUUAAAUAAAUGGAAUAUGUUUGAAAACAGAUUCCCAUUCUUUUAUAGUCCAACUUAGAAGUUAACGUAUACGUUAAUCGGAAGUGGACCAAGCCAAUAAGUUUGACUUGACUAGAGGGUGAGGUCUUAAAGGAGAUAAAGGCAAGGACUAAAAGCAUAUGUAAACUGCUCAGUGUCCCUCAAUUACUAACUAAUUAAAUCCCAUCGCAAUAAUGUAAGACAAAAUAAUUUAUAAUGCGGAAGCCGGGAUUGUUAAUAGACAAACCUCCAGCCAUUGUUCGUAUUCACGUUCGUCGAAUGUCCUGAAAAAUCAAGAAAACAAUAGGCACACUCUACUAACCAAAUUUCCUCACGUACUGAUGGUGUAUUCUAAAUGUGAGGAUUUUGUGUUAGAUCUUGUGAUCACCCGUCAGAAAUGAACAUACGUUCCUAUUUAUAUACCAUCUUCCAUCAAAACGGUAACCAAUGGGCGGUUGUCACGAAAGGGUACGAAGCGUGGAAAACUUCAUGUCGAAUAGUCGCAACUUUUAGGAGAAAAUGUGGGUCUAAAAUGUGGGAUCACAAAAAUAAAUAACAUUUUCCUACUUGAUCCCAUCAUUUUCAUCAUACGGAUUAUCCAACUAAUUCCACGAAAACUUUAUGCUUAAAGAAAAGAAACAAAAACACAUGGAUCAUGGCGACAUGUCCUCUAAGAGUGAGUAAUAUCUUCCAUGUAUCACAAUGCAUCUUAUUUCUUUAAUGUCAGCCUAUAUGUGACAACAUAUCUUAAUGAAUAAACCCCAUGUUUAUUCCAAAACCAAGGAUAAAUGUUAUUCUCAUAAACAACAAAAUGUGUACACAAAAAUUGAGAAUCAACAUUACAACUGAAUAAGAGUUUCAUACAAUAAAAUCGUUCAUAUGACGACAAAUCACACGAUGGGACCUAUUUCCAUACUAGUUACAUAAUCCUUAUACUUCAUUGGUGGCAUGCCUUUAGUUAAAGGAUCGGCUAUCAUCAAUUUAGUGCUAAUGUGUUCAAUGACCACUUUAUUCUCCUUAACACGUUCCUUUAUGGCUAAAUACUUAAUGUCGAUAUGCUUACUUCGAUUGCCACUUUUGGCAUUUUUAGCCAUAAAAACCGCAGCUGAAUUGUCACAAUAUAUUCUUAAUGGCCUAUAAAUAGAAUCAACAAUUCUAAGCCCAGCAAUGAAACUCUUCAACCAUACACCAUGCGAGGUAGCCUAAAAAAAAGAAACGAACUCAACCUCCUAGUGGAAGUAGCAGUCAAAGUUUGCUUGGCACUUCUCCAUGACACGGCUCCGCCAGCUAACAUAAAAAUGUAUCCAGAUGUUGAUUUUCGUGAAUCAACGCAGCCCGCGAAGUCCGCACCCGAAUAACCGAUCACUUCCAGGUUGUCAGUCCGUCUAUACAUAAGCAUAUAGUCUUUGGUACCUUGAAGGUAUCUCAUCACUUUCUUUGCAGCUCUCUAGUGGUCUAAACCUGGAUUACUCUAAUAUCUUCCCAACACUCCCAUAGCAAAAGCAAUGUCAGGUUGAGUGCAAACCUGAGCAUACAUCAAGCUUCCAAUAGCAGAAGCAUAUGGAAUGUUCUACAUUUGUUCCCUUUUUAGAUCGUUCUUCGGGCAUUGGUUCAAAUUGAACCUGUCACCCUUCACAAUGGGUGCUAUAUUUGGUGAACAAUCUUUCAUUCGAAAUCUCUCUAGGACCUUAUUGAUAUAGGUUUCUUGAGACAGUCCUAAAAUGCCUCGAGGUCUAUCUCUAUGGAUCUUAAUGCCAAUGACAUAAAAUGCAUCUCCCAUAUCCUUCAUGUCAAAACUCUUAGAGAGAAAUUGUUUCAUCUCAUGUAGCAACCCCUUAUCAUUGGUUGCAAGUAGUAUAUCAUCCACAUACAGUACAAGGAAACAAAUUUUGCUCCCACUGACCUUCUGGUAUAUACAUUGAUCCACGACAUUCUCUACAAAACCGAAUGAAGAGAUGACUUCAUGGAACUUUAAGUACCAUUGGCGGGAUGCUUGUUUCAAGCCAUAUAUAGAUUUCUUAAGCUUGCACACCAAAUGCUCACCUUUACUAGAGGAGAAUCCUUCAGGUUGUUUCAUGUAAAUCUCCUCCUCUAGUUCUCCAUUAAGGAACGCCGUUUUCACAUCCAUCUGAUGUAAUUCCAUAUCAAAAUGGGCAACCAAAGCCAAAACAAUACGAAGAGAAUCUUUCUUAGAUACAGGAGAAAAAGUCUCCGUAUAAUAGAUUCAUUCCUUUUGAGUGAAUCCUUUGGCAACAAGUCUAGCUUUAUAUCUUCCAAUGUUACCCAAUGAAUCCUUCUUAAUUUUGAAGACCCAUUUACAACCAAUGGCCUUGCACCAUCAGGUAACUCAACCAAAUCCCAAACUUUGUUAGAUGCCAUUGAACUCAUUUCUUCCUUCAUGGCAUUGUACCACAAAUUGGAUUUAUCACUAUCCAUGGCUUGUGAAAAUGUUUUGGGAUCAUUCUCAACUCCAAUAUUGUAGUCAGACUCUUGUAAAUACACAAUACAAUCACUAGGAAUAGCCGAUUUCUUUAUUCUAGAAGAUCUUCUCAAUGUUGCAUCAACAUUCUCUUGAGGAGUGUGUUGCUCAACAGUUUCUAGUAAUUGCUGAACAACUAGAUCUACUAGAUCAAUAUCAGCAGGUUGUGGAACUUUAACGAUUGGUUGUUCAAUAGCCGGUUGAACUGAAGGGGCAUUAUGAGCAACAACCAAUCUUAAAAUUGAGAUGGAAGGUUGAGUAUCUGUAUGAUCUUUCUUAGGAUCAAGGUCCUUCGAUCGAUCACUCCCACUGAUCAAGUCAUUUUCAAGAAAUUUAGCGUUUCUUGAUUCCACAAUCCUAGUGGUGUGAGAUGGACAAUAAAACCUGUAUCCCCUAGACCUUUCGGCAUAUCCAAUGAAAUACCCACUUAUGGUCCUUGGGUCUAACUUCUUUUCUUGUGGAUUAUAAACUCUCACUUCAGACGGGCAUCCCCAAACGCGCACAUGAUGCAAACUCGGUUUCCAACCCUUAAAUAACUCAAAAGGUGUCUUUGGGACAGCCUUGGUCGGAACUCGGUUUAAUAUGUACACUGCCAUCUUAAGUGCUUCAGUCCACAAUGAUUUAGGAAGUUUAGAGCUGCUAAGUAUACUACGCACCAUGUCCAAUAAGGUCCGGUUUCUUCUUUCCGCUACGCCAUUUUGGUCUAAAGAACCAGGCAUAGUAUAUUGGGCAACUAUCCCAUGCUCUUGAAGAAACCUUGAAAAUGGACCAGGUGCUUGUCCACCUUCAGUGUAUCUAUCAUAGAAUUCUCCACCUCUAUCUGAUCUCACGAUCUUAAUUUGCUUAUCGCAUUGUUUCUCUACUUCCGUCUUAAAUACCUUAAAGGCAUCUAAUGCUUCAUAUUUAUUAUGAAUCAAGUAGAGAUACAUAUAACGUGAAUAAUCAUCUAUGAAGGAGAUGAAGUAUUUCUGACCACAAGAGUCCAUAUCCGGACUAUAUAUAUAUGUAUGUAUGAUUUCUAAUAUUUUUGUAUUCCUCUUGGCACAUUUCUUUGAUUUGUUAGUCUGCUUUCCUUUAAUGUAGUCCACACAAGUAUCACAAUCAAUAAAAUCUAAAGUACCAAGUACUCCAUCAUUUACUAAUCGCUGAAUUCUUUCUAUGGAGAUAUGUCCCAAUCUCCGGUGCCACAACAUAGAGGAAUGUUCUUUCACAACACAUCGUUUCAUACUAGCUUUAUCAUGAACAUGCAUCGCAUCAUAAUAGGCAUUGUCUUGUAAAUUAAUUCGAAAAAGACCAUUAGACAAAGUACCACUCCCAACAAUUUCAGAUUUAAAUGAUAAACAAAAGUUUGAAUCUGAAAAGUUAAAAGAGUAUCCCAAAGGUACAAGUCUUGAAACUGAAAUUAAGUUUCUAGAAAAACUAGGAACAUAAAAGGUUUUUUCCAAAUUUAAAACAAAACCACUAUUGAGAACUAGUUAAUAUAUCCCAAUAGCUUCCACAUGCGAACGCAUCUUGUUUCCUGAAUAGAUGCUUUGUUCACUUCCCACUAGUUUCCUGUGGUUUUGAAAACCUUGUAAGGAAUUCGAAAUAUGGAUUGUAGAUCUAGGAGGUAUUUUACCUUUUAAUGUCAGCUUGAGGAGGUAUUUUACCUUUUCCCUUAUGCUUGCCAUAGCCGUUAUUCUUUCCUUGCGUUGCCAAAUGAGCACUUUCUCCCAAUUCCAUAAUCAGUCUUUCUUCCUCUUGAACACACAUGGUCAUGAGUUCAUUAAUUGACCAUUUAUUCUUAUGUGUGUUAUAAGAGAUCUUGAAAGGUGCAUACUGUUGUGGAAGAGUGUUCAUAAUAUAAUACACAAGAAAUGAUUCAGAUAUCUCAACCUCAAGGUUCUUAAGCUGAGCUGCAAUGUUCCUCAUUUGCAUGAUGUGCUCACGCACACCUCUAACACUAGUGAGCUUCAAUGAUGAAAACUUCAUAAUUAGGGUCAUGGCAUGCGCCUUCUUAGAGCUUUCAAACUGCGCAUCUAUGGCCUCCAAUAAAGCCUUAGCAUUGCUAUGUUGAGCAACUGAACCACGAAUACUAGAAGAUAUCUUAGCUCUUAUAAACAUGGCACAAACGCGGUUGGACCGCUCCCAAUGGUUAUAAAGAGCUAUUUUAGCUAGAGUGCUCGAAUCAGUAGGAGCAGGUGGUUUGUCUUUCCUUAUAGCAUAGUCAAUGUCCAUCCACCCCAAUUGAAGAAGAACUGACUCCUUCCAAACUUUAUAGUUCUCACCAUUUAGUAUGGGAAUAUCAAACUUAAAUUUAGAGAAAUUCACAAGUUGUGAAACUGCAUAUCAAAUAAUCAUGCUUAUGUCACAAAAUUUGAGGCAAAUAUAAAUAAAUCAUGUUUUACCAAUGUAAACAUGUCACAAUAUGAAUCACAUAACAUAAAAACUACCUGUGGGCUAAGUUUUUAAUUUAAAUAGAUUCAUAAUUACUUUAUGAAGAAACUACCAUAUUAUAUGCCUUUUCUUAAUCCCUGUGGGUAAAUUAAGAAAAAAAUAUGAUAUUUCAUCCUAAUUAAUCAUAUUAAUUUAAUGAAAUUUCCUGUGGGAUAAAAUUCAUCAUAUUAAUAUAAUUAAUUACAAUCAAUGUCCAUUUCUAAAUAUGAUCCGGAGGCUUUUAUUAUAUAAUUAAAUUAAUUAAAGAUGCUGUGGCCACUCUCUAAUUAAUUAAAUAUAUGGACCAUUGGACAUUUAAUUUAAUGUAUAAAAUAACAUAAUAAAUUAAAAAAUCAAGGGAAGAACAGUAAAUAAAUAAAUUGACCAAGGGCAAGAUUGCAAAAACAUGAAAAAUUUGGGGCAAAAGCGUAAAUAGAAGCCGCGGAAGAGGGGUCGACCGGUGCGUGCCGAGCACGCGCUAGAAUUCGCGCGGGCGCGUGCCCUACACGCAGGCGGUUCAGCGCACAGGAGCAUGCAACGGGCAACUGCCGCGCACGUGGAUCCCACGUGCAUAGUGGUUGAGCACGCGUGAGAGUGCGUGGCGCGUGGAUUCCACGUGCCUGCAACCGUAGCGCGCGCGUGGGCUUCACACGCCUUCUUCCUCGCGUGAACAAAAGCUUUUCUUCACCGUUUUUCGCCGUGGUUUCGCCGGCUGUUUCUUCUCCGGCAGCCCAUCUCAGACCGAAAUAAUUGAUGGGUUUUGAAGAGCAUGCCGGCACGACUACAUGGUUCAAGUUUUGGCGAAAAUGAACAAAAAUUGGCCCCAAAAUCAGAUGAAAAUUUCCCAAAACACAAUUCCUUCAACCACCGCGACUUCCGCUGCCCGAUUAGCCUCUGGCGAACACCGAUAUGCCAAAAUAACUCAUGGCUAAUGUUCCUUAUGGCGGUGCGACUGUGCGGGUCCAAAAUCAAGGGGUGGGUCGCCGGAAUUUGCUCGGAAUUUGGGAGUUUCUCUGUUGGCCUCAAAACUCGAGUUACUGUUCAUGUUAAAAAAUGCCCAAAAAUACACAAAAAUUCAAGAAAAACAAGGCAGAGGCAAUAAACACGCUUUGAUACCAAAUGUAAGACAAAAUAAUUUAUAAUGCGGAAGCCAGGAUUGUUAAUAGACAAACCUCCAGCCAUUGUUCGUAUUCACGUUUGUCGAAUGUCCUGAAAAAUCAAGAAAACAAUAGGCACACUCUACUAACCAAAUUUCCUCACGUACUGAUAGUGUAUUCUAAAUGUGAGGAUUUUGUGUUAGACCUUGUGAUCACCCGUCAGAAAUGAACAUACGUUCCUAUUUAUAUACCAUCUUCCAUCAAAACGGUAACCAAUGGGCGGUUGUCACGAAAGAGUACGAAGCGUGGAAAACUUCAUGUCGAAUAGUCGCAACUUUUAGGAGAAAAUGUGGGUCUAAAAUGUGGGAUUACAAAAAUAAAUAACAAAUAAAGGUUAAUCGUUGUGUGGUUUGUAUGAUUGCAUGAGACCCUUUUGAAUAAAAAAAGUACCCACCAUUCUUGACUUAGAGUGGCACGCGAUUUUGGGUCUGCUCAUUUCCUUUUUUUGUAUUUAUUACUAUAUCUGAAAAUUGCAGUUGAAAUCCGUCAUUAGUUGUGAAUACCAACAAUGUCCCUCCAGUCUUCCACUAUUUUUUUUUGGUCGGUCUUAGGCUAUGCCUCCUCUAACACUCACUCUCAGACUUUUACCCUGCCUCCUUGCAGGGCGUGGGAGUCGAAACCUGUGACAUCCCGAUUUUUCUCAAUUUUAUUUUCAGUCAAUUGAGUUGGAUGAUUCAUUUGUGCACGUAGUCCGUCUCUUAGAGUUGGCCACUCACGAGGGAACUAAUUUAUUGAGUAAAGCAAUUAAGGAAUUUUACCGCGUCAGACUUGGGGACCGAUCACCCUCGGGUCGGAUGCAGGAAAAUUUCCCCAAAAGCUAUUCGGUGGAUUAGGGGCGCUGAAAUUGCACCAGAUUGAAUUUAACUGUGAAAAUUGAAAUUGAAUUUAGAAAUUUGAAAGUCCGGUUAUGUCACACAUUUUAUUAGGAUCAUGGGAUAAUUUUUGUGGAUUUUAAUUGGAUUCAAUUAGAAGAGAAUUGAGCCAAAAAAAAAAUUAGAAGAGAAUUGAAAGAAAAAUUGAAGAAGUUGGAUGUACAAAGAUUUGGACCCCGGCGAAAAUGAUAUUGCACCCAUUGAAGAAUGUUAUGGGAGAUGAGAUAGUGGAAGAUGACGUCAUGGGAUGAUGUCAUGGUGGGUGGCCAAAAUGAGGGAGAUCUUGACAAGUGGAGGGCCAAGAUUUGCCCUCACCCCCAUCAACAUCAUUUUCUUCAUUUGAACUUGGAGGAGAGAGAAGAGGGGGGAGAGAGGAUCGGCGAAGAGGAGCUCGCCUGUCGACCAGCAGCUGUGCGUCGCUUCCUUGUCGUCCGUCGUCGUCGUGCCGAGUCGCCGUUGCCACCGCGUCGUCCCGCGCUCGCUAGCCCCGCAAUCGCCUCUCCCUCCGCUCAGCCCCUCCGUCGCCCUCCGUCAGCCAAGCCGCUAGCCAUCGCCGUGAGCCACCGCUUGGCCAGCCGCGCCUCUCCUCCACCACUACCGCCUCUAGCCGUCGCCGUUCCUCUUCUCCGGCCCGAUCGUGCAACAAGAAAAGUGGGUCUCACAACCCGGUUGAGGCCCAUUUUGGCUGUCUUCCUGGCCUCGGAAGCUAGGCCCGCCUUUGGAAAAGUCGAUCUCGGCGUCGCCCUCGUCGUUUUGGUCCAAGCGGCAAGUUAAUCAAGUGAGUUUACCUCACUAAACCUUGAUUAGAGUGUUAAUGAUGCCCUAAGUAUGUUUAGUUUAAAUUAAGUAAGUUUAGGUUGGUAGAUUACUUUAUUUAAUUAUAAAAUGGAUUAAGAGAAUUGUUUAUGUUAAAGUGUGUUUAAUUAAGGUUAAAAUAAGUUAUUUAAUGUUAAGCCUUGAUGGGACAUAAUAAGAUUUUAGUUUUGACUUAUUUAAUUAUUUCGAAAUUCUGGAAAAUAUAAUAUUAUAUUAUAAUCCGAAAAAAAAACGGAAAAAAAUUAUUUUUAGCCCCGGUUGCUUAGAAUUUUGUGCCGAUUGCUGCUGUGCAUUUAGAAUUUGAAAUUGAUGAUUGGUUGUGGCAAAUUGAGUGUGAUUGUGAUAAAUAGGGAUUCUUUAUAAAAUCUUAAGUGUGAAAAUUGAUGGGCGAUUGGCCGUAAUUAACCACCUAUUAGAGGUCGUGCCCAGUGAGGCCGUGAUUAACCACCUAUUAGAGGUCUUGCCCAGUGAGGUCGUGAAUUGCCACCUGAUGAAGGUCACACCAAACCGGGCCAUGAUUUACCACCUACUAGAGGUCGUGCCCAUCGGGCCAGGAUCUACCACCUUUUAAAGGUUGUGCCGAGUGGGGCGGUGAUGCCACUAAUUCUAAUUUUGCCGAGUGGGGCCGUGAUUGCCACUGUUUGUUAGACCUACCUAUAGGGUCAUGAUUUGAAGUGAUGAUUGAUUGUUGGAAUGACAUGUAAUCGGCCUAGUCGAUUGAUCGCUGAGACGAUCCAAGUGGUUGAAUUGUUCUGAUAUUGUGAUGGUGCAAUAGUUGUUUGGUCAUCAUAAUUGCACGUGGUAAAAUUAUAUAAACUGUGCUAACCUGCAGGUGAAGGCUAAUGCCAGGUAAGUCUUCUUGAUGGCUAGGCCACUCUGGGGCGUAUUUACUUUCUAAUAGGGGUUUAGAAGGGGUGAACUUGCUGAGACAAAGUCAUCCCGGUUUGGGGAAAAUAUUACAGGGCCGUAGAUGGCAGUACCCUCGGAGAAGAGUGGCAUGCCAACGGAGAUUCUCCAAACGACGCAGAGUGCUCCUGACCCUGGAAGUCCUUGGAUCUAUCAGCUAGUUAGGUCCACUUUCUUGGUUGAAGUGUCCGUGGAUGCUAGAGUACCUUAUAUGUUUAGGGCUUGGUUUCGUUUUCGAGUCGAUGGCGUUAGGGUUGGCCCAUUGGAUAGCAUGGACAUUCUGUUGGCUGUGAUGAAUGCCAUUUUGGGUGAAGGCGUGGCGGAUCUUCCUGACGGUAGAGUGAUCAACGCGUCGCCCUCGGCCUCUUGGGUGACAGAUCCUGAGGAUGUGGGAUCGUCGAACGGGGCUGACUAGUAGUCUUAGGGCUGUUCCUCUUUUUGGCGGACCGAUCCAUGUUAUGUAGACUGACCCUUUUUGAUGCACAUAAACUCUGACCCAUUUUUGGUGCAUAUAGUCUCUGGAUCCUGUUGGUGUAUGUAAACCCUGGAAUGAUGAUGAUGAUGAUGAUAUAUGAAAGUAUGUUUGUUUGAUUUUGAAUUGAUUUUCCUGCUGUCCUAUCCCGUAUGUUUUUGUUAAGGGUUUCUUAGCACGUUUUGCAUGCACAUAUUAAUUUAAAAUUGGGGUCGGCGACACUACCUGGGAAUGUCGCAUUUACAUGACCAUGGCGGGUUGUUCACGUGUCUCGUGGUUCGAGGUGUGACAACCUCGCUUAAGUGGUAUCAAAGCAUGGUUUGUGUAUGGAGUGAUAAGGGUGAUGAGUCAUGGGAUAGUUAGUAGGAAGAACUUUCCAUAUCCUAAUACAUGUGAUUGUUAGUUGUUUGUUAGCUUGGUUGGAAGGUUACUCAAAUUCUAAUAUGAUAUUGGAAUUCGCCAAUAGGCGUUUGUAUUGAGCCUGUAGUAUGAGUGAUUGAGAGCCGAGAGCUGCUAGGAAUAGAGUAGUAGGCCCCGUGUUUCGGGAUGGGUCUUCAUUGAGGGGUGGUGCCCGUGGUGCCCUGAGAGGAGCGCAGGCAAGGACUAGUGCAAGUGGUGCAGCUUUGCUAGAUGGUGCAGCAGCCCUAGAGGAUCCGAGGUUUAUUGGAAUCAUGCAGAUGCUCGAGGCGAUAGGAGACAGGAUGGAUCAGCAAGCCACUGCUAUUGCCACCACAUUGAACACCGCCAAUGCCACUACUACUGCUGCCGCAGCUACCGCCGCACCGGUCGCCGAACCAGAAGAGGAACCUGAUGAAAUUCCACCUGAGGAUGUGGCCGCUGGGAGGCCUAGAUAGAAGUUGGUACAACAUUUUCUGAGGUUGAAUCUGUCAACGUUCACGGGAGCAGGAGACCUCGAAGCUGCAGCAUUAUGGAUCUUGGAGUUAGAGAAUGCCUUUGAGUUGCUGUUGUGCACUGAAGCAGAAAAAGUCGUCCUGAUAGCCUAUCAGUUGAGGGGGAUCGCAGCUACAUGGUGGAAGACUAACAAAAUGAUAGUGUUCCUUGAAGGUGUGGUUCCAGAGUGGAAUGCUUUUCUUAAAGUCUUCAAUGAGAAGUACUUUUCCGAUUGUGCUAGAGAGGUGAAAAUGGCGGAGUUUUAGCGCCUUCGUCAAGAUACCAUGUCAGUCGAUCAGUAUGAAGCGAAGUUCGCCGAAUUGUCGCAGUAUGCCCCUGAGUUGGUCUAGCGACCAUUAGACCGAGCUCGAAGGUUUAGAUAUGGGUUUCAACCAGAGGUGAGGAGCUUGUUGGUACCCUUAGAUCUGAAGGAGUACAAUGACCUCUACAGGCGGGCACAGCUAAUCGAGAAAGACUAGAAUGAGAGAGCUGCCACAUCUGGGUCGCGGUUUAAUUCAAACAGAGGUGAUAAUCGGUUUGGGAAGAGGCCGAUGCCUGAAGGAAGGUACCCUGUUCCACCCAACAGGAAGGGUGGAGUGGGGAAGUUGUCAUCGAGCUACAAUGAAGCAUGUCGUUCGUGUGAGAGGUGACAUGGCUUAGCCCUAUGCCCUUUUAGGACGGGUGCCUGCUAUGAGUGUGGCCAGCAGGGUCACCGUGCUAGGGAUUGUCCCAGGAGACUUAUGAGACUGCCUCAGUUGCCGCCGCCGCCACCGCUGGGUCAGAACAGAGGAUUCACACCGCAGAUUGUGCCGCUGGGUGGAUUGAACCGACCUCCAGCUCAGGGAAGGACUUAUGCGCUCACCAGAGGACAGGCGGAGGAUGCGCCUAAUGUGGUCAUAGGUAUGGUCUUGUUGAACGACCAACCUGCUUAUGCUUUAUUUGAUCCUAAAGCUUCACAUUCGUUUAUAGCUGAAAGAUUUGUUAAGUUGGUAGAAUUAAUUCCUGAAUUGUUGGAGUCUGUGAUUAGCAUAUCUACCCCGUUGAAAGAUAAGGUGUUAGCUACAGUAGGUUGCCUUGGUUGCAAGUUAGUGAUCGGUGAGCGAGAGGGGAGGAUAGACUUGAUAGUCCUAGCCAUGUAUGAUUUUGAUGCGAUAAUUGGCAUGGACUGGCUCACUAAGCAACAAGCUAAGAUGGACUGUUAUCGCAAGGCGAUUCAGUUUAACCCAUUAGAGGGUGAGAGUUUCGAAUUCAUUGGGAGUCGAGGAGGACCCGCGAUUUCCUUAAUCUCAUUGCUCGAGGUAACCCGCUUGCUAGGCAAGGGUUGCCAAGGUUACCUGGCGACUGUCGUGGACAUGACAGUAGAGGAGUCGAAAAUAGAAGACAUUCUAGUAGUGCAAGAAUUCCCAGAUGUGUUCCCGAAAGAAUUACCAGGUUUGCCGCCAGAAAGAGAGAUAGAGUUUGUAAUUGAGUUAGCUCCGGGGACCGAGCCUAUCUCUAAAGCUCCUUACCGAAUGGCCUUGUUAGAGCUUAAGGAACUAAAGGUGCAAAUGCAAGAGUUGUUGGAUAAAGGAUUUAUACGUCCAAGUGCAUCACCUUGGGGAGCACCGGUGUUGUUUGUGAAGAAGAAGGAUGGUUCAUUACGCUUGUGCAUCGACUACCGAUAGCUCAACCAGGUGACAAUUAAGAAUAAGUAUCCAUUGCCAAGGAUUGAUGAUUUGUUUGAUCAGCUUCAAGGAGCGUCGAUAUUUUCUAAGAUCGACUUGAGGACGAGGUAUCAUCAGCUAAGAAUCAAGAAGGAAGAUAUACCGAAGUCGGCGUUUCGCACUCAAUACGGCCAUUACGAGUUUACUGUGAUGCCGUUUGGGUUGACGAACGCCCCAGUUGCCUUCAUGGACCUGAUGAACCGGGUGUUCAGAGAGUAUUUAGAUCAAUUCGUAAUUGUCUUCAUCAACGACAUCCUGGUGUAUUCAAGGAGUACUGAGGAUCAUAAAAGGCACUUAAAAAUGGUACUUUAGACUUUGAGAGACCACGAGUUGUAUGCUAAGUUCAGUAAGUGCGAGUUUUGGCUAACUCGUGUGGCAUUCCUAGGUCAUGUUAUCUCUGGAGAAGGAAUCUCAGUGGACCCAGCCAAGAUUGAAGCAGUAAUCAACUGGCCGAGACCGACUACAGUGACAGAGAUCAGAAGUUUUCUGGGUUUAGCAGGGUAUUACAGACGGUUUGUAGAAGGGUUUUCAGUGUUAGCAUCGCCAAUGAUGAGACUGCUGAAGAAGGAAGAAAAGUUUGUAUGGUCAGAUAAGUGCGAGCGUAGCUUCCAAGAGCUCAAGCAAAAGCUAACUACCGCACAUGUACUUACUAUUCCACCUGGUCAGGAGGAUUUGAAAUCUACAGCGAUGCAUCGUUUAAAGGACUGGGUUGCGUAUUGAUGCAGCAUGGUAGGGUUGUUGCGUAUGCGUCCCGUCAGUUGAGACCUUAUGAGUUGAAUUAUCCGACGCAUGACUUAGAACUUGUAGCGAUCAUCUUUGCCCUUAAGAUUUGGAGGCACUACCUGUGCGGAGAAAGAUUCUAGAUCUUCACUGACCACUAGAGUCUUAAGUACUUAUUCUCUUAGAAAGAGUUGAAUAUGAGACAGUGCCGAUGGAUGGAACUCCUAAAGGACUAUGACUGUGAGAUUUUGUAUCACCCCGGAAGGGCGAACAAGGUCGCCAAUGCACUGAGCAGGAAGUCUUCAAUUGCACAGAUGGUACUCAAGGAGUGGAGUCUACUCGAGGGAGUACAAGAUUCGGGUUUCAAGUUUGAAGUAGGCCACCUUUUGAACCUUAUGGCUACUCUCAGAAUUGAGCCGGAAGUUCAGGUCAGGAUCAUGACACUUCAGCAGAUAGAUCCGGAUAUUUAGAAAAUCGUACAAGAGGAUACAGAGAAGAGGAAAGCUGACUUCCAGAUUUUUGAAGAUGGAACGUUAAGGUUCCAAGGACGGUUGGUUGUAUCUGACGAUGUGGAGCUUAGGGAGGAGAUUUUAUCAAAAGCGCAUCGUAGCAGUUACAACAUUCAUCCUGGUAGUACCAAGAUGUAUCAGAAUCUGCGUCAACACUACUGGUGGUGUGGCAUGAAGGCGGAUAUCGCCAAGCAUGUCGCCAAGUGUUUGACGUGUCAGCAAGUGAAAGUUCAACAUUGCAAACUGGGAGGACUUCUACAACCCCUUGAGAUCCCAGAAUGAAAAUGGGAGCAUAUCAUGAUGGACUUCGUGGCGGGACUACCGAGGAGCCAGAGAGGAAAUGAUUCGAUUUGGGUAAUAGUAGACAGAUUGACAAAAUCGACUCACUUCAUUGCAGUUCGAAGGGACUCGAGUUUGGAUAGACUCGCAGAUCUGUAUGUACAUUAGGUAGUUCGUAUGCAUGGAGUGCCGGUCACAAUUACUUCAGACAAAGACCCGAGAUUCACCGCCGCUUUUUGGAAGAGCUUGCAAUCCGCUUUAGGAACGAAGCUACAAUACGGUACGGCCUAUCACCCGCUGACUGAUGGCCAGUCUGAGAGGACAAUUCAAACUCUUGAGGACAUGCUGCGAGCUUGUGUCUUGGACUUCAAAGGAAGUUGGGAGGAAUAGCUUCAUCUGGUCGAGUUUGCCUACAAUAACAGUUACCAGCAGAGUAUUCAGAUGGCUCCUUUUGAAGCAUUGUAUGGCAGAGCAUGCAGAAUGCCAGUGUGUUGGGAUGAGGUCGGAGAAAGAAAGAUCACCGGUCCAGAGUUGGUUCAGCAGUCAGUGGAAGCAGUUACAGUUAUUAGAGACAGACUAAAGACCGCUCAGAGUCGCCAGAAAAGUUAUGUCGAUAAGCGUCGGAGGCCAUUGGAAUUCCAAGUUGGUGAGCACGUCUUCCUAAAAGUGUCGCCAGUGAGAGGUACUUCCCACUUUGGCAAAAAGGGGAAACUGAGUCCGAGGUACGUAGGUGUCUUCGAGAUUUUGGAAAGAAUAGGGACUCUAGCGUAUCGUCUUGCAUUGCCGCCAAAGUUGUCACACGUGCACGACGUCUUUCAUGUGUCGAUGUUGAGGAAGUAUGAACCUGACCCGACUUACGUUCUAAAUUUCGAGGAAUUAGACGUGGACGACAAAGUGUCGUACGUUGAAAGCCCGAUUCAGAUUGCGAAUCGCAAAGAGCAAGUUCUACGCACCAGGACCAUCCCAAUGGUCAAAGUGGUCUAGCAACACCAUGGCACUGAAGGAGCAACCUGGGAGACCGAAGAAUCGAUAAGACAAUUGUACCCCUACCUUCUUGUUUAAAGAUAUGUAAUGGUUUAAAUUUCGAGGAAGAAAUUUUUAUAAGAGGGGAAGAGUUGUGAAAUCUCGAUUUUUCUCAAUUUUAUUUUCAAUCAAUUGAGUCAGACGAUUCAUUUGUGCACGUAGUCCGUCUCUCAGAGUUGGCCACUCACGAGGGAACUAAUUUAUUGAGUAAAGCAAUUAAGGAAUUUUACUGCGUCAGACUUGGGGACUGAUCAUCCUCGGGUCAGAUGCAAGAAAAUUUCCCUAAAAGCUACUCGGUGGAUUAGGCGCGCUGAAAUUGCAUCAGAUUGAAUUUAACCGUGAAAAUUGAAAUUGAAUUUAGAAAUUUGAAAGUCCGGUUAUGUCACACAUCUUAUUAGGAUCAUGGGAUAAUUUUUGUGGAUUUUAAUUGGAUUCAAUUAGAAGAGAAUUGAAAGAAAAAUUGAAAAAGUUGGAUGUACAAAGAUUUGGACCCCGGCGGAAAUGAUAUUGCACCCAUUGAAAAAUGUUGUGGGAGAGGAGAUAGUGGAAGAUGACGUCAUGGGAUGAUGUCAUGGUGGGUGGCCAAAAUGAGGGAGAUCUUGACAAGUGGAGGGCCAUGAUUUUCCCUCACACCCAUCAACAUCAUUUUCUUCAUUUGACUUGGAGGAGAGAGAAGAGGGCGGGAGAGAGGAUCGGUGAAGAGGAGCUCGCCCGUUGACCAGCAGCCGUGCGCCGCUUCCCCACCGUCCGUCGUCGUCGUGUCGAGCCGGUGUCGCCGCCGUGUCGUCCCGCGCUCGCCAGCCGCGCGACCGUCUCUCCCUCCGCUCAGCCCCUCCGUCGCCGCACCAGCAACUUUGGCCAUCCCCAGCAGCUUGCCGCCGUCGCCCUCCGUCAGCCAAGUUGCCAGCCGUCGCCGUGAGCCACCGCCUGGCCAGCCGCGCCUCUCCUCCGCCACUACCGCCUCUAGGCGUCGCCGUUCUUCCUCUUCUCUGGCCUCGUCGUGCAGCAAGAAAAGUGGGUCUCACAACCCGAUUGAGGCUUGUUUUGGUCGUCUUCCCGGCCUCGGAAGCUAGGCCUGCCUUUGGAAAAGUCGAUCCCGGCGUCGCCCUCGUCGUUUUGGUCCAAGCAGCAAGUUAAUCAAGUGAGUUUACCUCACUAAACCUUAAUUAGAGUGUUUAUGAUGCCCUAAGUGUGUUUAGUUUAAAUUAAGUAAGUUUAGGUGGGUAGAUUAGUGUAUUUAAUUAUAAAUUGGAUUAAGAGAAUUUUUUAUGUUAAAGUGUGUUUAAUUAAGGUUAAAAGAAGUUAUUUAAUGUUAAGCAUUGAUGGGACAUAAUAGGAUUUUAUUUUUGAAUUAUUUAAUUAUUUCGAAAUUAUGGAAAAUAUAAUAUUAUAUUAUAAUCCGAAAAAAAAAUGGAAAAAAAUUAUUUUUAACCCCGGUUGCUCAGAAUUUCGUGCCGAUUGCUGCUGUGCAUUUAGAAUUUGAAAUUGAUGAUUGGUUGUGGCAAAUUGAGUGUGAUUGCGAUAAAUAGGGAUUCUUUAGAAAAUCUUAAGUGUGAAAAUUGAUGGGCGAUUGGCCGUGAUUAACCACCUAUUAGAGGUCGUGCCCAGUGAGACCGUGAUUAACCACCUAUUAGAGGUUGUGUCUAGUGAGGCCGUGAUUAACCACCUAUUAGAGGUCGUGCCCAGUGAGGCCGUGAAUUGCCACCUGAUAAAGGUCGCGCCCCGUGAGGCCAUGAAUUGCCACCUGAUGAAGGUCGCGCCCAACCGGGCCAUGAUUUACCACCUACUAGAGGUCGUGCCCAUCGGGCCGCGAUCUACCACCUUUUAAAGGUUGUGCCGAGUGGGGCGAUGAUGCCACUAAUUCUAAUUUUGCCGAGUGGGGCCGUGAUUGUCACUGUUUGUUAGACCUACCUAUAGGGUCAUGAUUUGAAGCGGUGAUUGAUUGCUGGAAUGACAUGUAAUCGGCCGAGUCGAUUGAUCGCUGAGACAAUCCAAGUGGUUGAAUUGUUCUGAUAUUGUGAUGGUGCAACAGUUGUCUAGUCAUCAUAACUGCACGUGGUUGAAUUAUAUAAAUUGUGCUAACCUACAGGUGAAGGUUAAUGUGAGGUAAGUCUUCUUGAUGGCUAGGCCACUCUGGGGCAUAUUUACUUUCUAAUAGGGGUUUAGGAGGGGUGAAUUUGUUGAGACAAAGUCUCAUCCUGGUUUGGGGAAAAUAUUACAGGGCCGUAGAUGGCGGUACCCUCGGAGAAGAGUGGCAUGCCGACGGAGAUUCUCCAGACGACGCAGAGUGCUCCUGACCUUGGAAGUCCUUGGGUCUAUUAGUUGGUUAGGUCCAUUGUCUAGGUUGAAGUGUCCGUGGAUGCUAGAGUACCUUAUAUGUUUAGGACUUGGUUUCAUUUUGGAGUCGAUGGUGUUAGGGUGUUGGUAAUUUGUUUAUAAAACAAAUGAAGAGGUGCCUUGUCCCACGUUGAAAUGAUGUGAGUGCGCACGUGGACGAGAUUUGGCACUAACCAACGAUAAUUAUUUUUAUUUAUUGAAAAUUCGGAUUUAUUUCUAUAAAAAAAUUAAUUAUAAAGUCUUGUUGAAACAGUGCGACUGUUCAUGAAAAGUUACAAUUAUUUUUUAUUUAUUUAAUUCCGAAUUUCUUAUGUCUUUUCAACAUAACCUUUGAGACAUACUUGUUCAUUUUACAACCUUUCCCGAAAGGUUGUCUUUGUUCUUUUGCAAUCUUUUGAAGAGUUGCAUUUAUUCGAAAGACAUAUAUAAGUACAUUUGUUUUGAGAUCAAAGAUAUAUCUUCUUCCAUUUUUUCGUUUUCUUUCGAGAGAAAAACAACAACCAUUGUUUCUAAUUGUUUCCCAUGAGAGACUCUGGAGAAAUACUAGAAUUGCUAUAUAGUAUUCUCACUUGAGACUUUGUUGUAUCCUGGAGGAAAUUUGCCGGUGACCAUUAGCAAUGUAGUGGGGCAAAUAAAUCCUUAAAGAAAGUGAUAUCACGCCUCAAAGUCCGACUUGAGUACUCUAAAGAUCCAACUUCAUUGUUCUACCCAAUUCGAAGCCAUAUUUUUCCAACAAUUUUAAGGAUUUAUUUGUGCAACAAUGGAGUUAAGGAUGCGGUUAAUGGUGGGUUAAGCAAGGGAUGUGCAAAAUGCAAAUGGCAUCCUCUUCUUCGUUCCAUGGACAAAUCUCUCUCUGGUCGUAAUGGCAUUCAUCCUCACUCACCGUGGCAAUGAAGGCUCUCUUUUUCUCUCUUGAAUUCUCUCUCUUUAUUUGUCCAUUUACCAUCGUAAGGAUGUGUUUUAUGUCUUUUAUGCUCCCAAUGCUAUGCCAUGUCUUGUCUAUGUAUUUGAUGUUCAGAUUGGGACUCAACACUAACAAAUCUUGAUGACAUCCAUCGUGAUGAAAAAGACCAGGAUGGUGUCGUCUUGAAUCACGAUGCUAAUUUCCCGUAUCAUGCGAGACCGGCAUCUCAUCUCGUAAAACAAACGUCGAGAAUGCCGAGACUCUGAUCCAUGAGAUCGAGUGCAAGUUCUCGAGAUUUCUCUUUCCCAGGAAAAGGUUAUAUACUCAUAACUAUCAGAUCUUUGCUCGGUGGGCUGCUAAUGCCUAGCCAUGUAGAAAGGCUUGAGCAUUUCAUGGAGAGAGAGGGUGGUUAUAGCCACGGCAGCAAAGAUCGAGCACGCGACUUUCUUGUCACCGUGGUUGUUGAGGGCUGUUUAGGCUGGUGCAGUUGUGAGGGGUACGAGAGGUUUCCGCUCAUAGCGCUGAAAACCCCGAAUGGUCUCGAACUCAGCAAACUUAGGCGUGCGAGAUGGCCCAGAGUAAACUUCAAGUUCGAUCUUCCACCGGUGACGUCAGUGCCCGGAUUGGCACAUAACUUCCAACGGUGGCCUUACACUGCCAAAUUUGAGAAUUGGCGGCAUUUGUCGAACUAUAGAGAUACUAAGAGAUCAGGGUAGAGGGCAUCGGUGGCUUAGACUAAUGGAACUUUGGAGUGGCUUUCUCGGUGAUUUCCUCCAAACUCCCUCCUACCUCUUAAUUGCCAAUCGUUGCCUUCAUAGGAGUGCGUAUCAUUUCUGUUCACUCGACCGUCACAAAUGAUGCCCUGUUUGGUCUUGUCCUUGGUCUUGGAGACUCAAAUUUUUGCUCGUUAGAUCAACAACUGCAACCAUGGCUACGCUACCAACGUCGCGUAGCACAAGAGCGAAGUGCAGUUCCCGAAUCAUCCUUCGUGGCCAGAAAUUCAAGACCCAGGGAUUGACGUUUCAUAUGGAACCCCCAUAGUUGGAUCAUGUAAAUUGAGGAAUUUGGAGGAUAGCAAACUCUUGCUAAAAUUGAAGGAUACACACGGGUCUCUUCCCCAUUAAUCUCUGAAUGUCAGUUUGUGUUUGGGAAGGAAGUCAGACCGUGGGGCCUUCUUCCCUCCAGCAAUGACCGAGUGCGUGAUGCAAGGUCACCCAGUGCGGGGCGGGGAAAGAAUCAAUUACUUUCGUGAUACUGGCCGAGUAUCACUGACUAGGAAGUGUAGCUAUUGUUCCGAGAAAACAUAAAGCGUGCUCUAUUUUGCUCUGCUUCACGACCGAGAAACUGAAGCGACUGGAUCUCGGUCGAGAUUUUUGGCUGUGAUUCCAAUCGUCAAUGAUAACCGAAGCUUUUGCCAUCAACCCUCUUACCAAUCUAUUAAGAAGGUAAUAUCUACUGCUUUGUCACAGUCUAUUUUAAUGAGAAAAGGAAAUGACAUGGCAUGUUUUAGAUUGGAUUUGAAUCGGCUCUAUUCAAGUUUGUGUCAGUGAUUGCACACAUCUUUGACAGAUAUUUCAUAAAUUUGGUCUCUAAUCUGGGUUCAUCAAUGUAUGGUUUUAUUCCCCGAUUGGUGAAUACAAACUAUAUGCUGAUUUUUAUCAUUCUGCUCUUACUUUUACAUUAGGUUGUCAUAUCUAUAAGAACGGUGGUCAUUCCCCUGUGGUUGCAUUGCUUUUUUAUGUGCAUGUGUAAUAGGAAUCCUACAAUUGCUUGGGUUGCUGUAGGAGCUUAGAAUUAGAAUAUUAAAUGGGUUGACUUGAUAUUAAUUUCAGUCUGCAUAAGUUGUGGUUCUUUCCAAAUGCCACGUAAGACAUGCAGAAGAGGCAAGGAAGCCGUGGGUAUCGUGUCAUUUGUGUAGUUUAUGAGUGGCUGGUCCUUAAUUGACCAUUGGAUAUGGUAAAUCUGUUAUGUGGGAAAUUUAUGUGGAGAGGAGGUUCCUUGAUAUAGCUUCAGAAGAUUUUGUUUAUUUAUUACAUUGUUAUCGUUAUAACAUCUUAUGUGCAAGAGCCUUAAGGACGUAAGAUAAGGGGAUUAUAUGCAAAACUUGGCAUGCAAAGUGGACAAAGGAUUUUGGUUAAUGAUUGACAAAGUCCCAAUUUUUGAGUGUAGCAUAAAUUGGGAUUUGAGAAGUGUAAAAGGUCCACUUCCCAUGGGCAGACUGUGUUAGAAUGCUGUCAUUAAUGCGUCCUUACAGCUUCCAGUGGUUACGAUAGCCAUGACAGGCAUCAAUGAGUGGAUUGAUAAUUCUGAAUGUUUUGGGGCUUUCAGGUGGAAAGAACUAGAAAAAAAAAAAAUUUGUCUUAUUUCGACCAAUGCUUCAUGACAAUGCUUGGUUGUGCUCGCUUCUUAAUUUGCCGGUCCCCUUGUUUCUUGUCUCUAUGGAAGAUGUUCUUCCGAGGCUUCAAAGUUGCAAAAGGAAAAGGAGGAGGCAGCUGAGACAAAAAGAAGUAAUUCUUUGGAGCCAUGGUUGACGAUAUCCUUAUUUUGGAACUAAUAUAAAUGUAAUCAUUGAAAUUAAGAAGUAUCUAACUUUCGUUAUUAAAAUGAGAUAUUUGAGUAAAGUAGAUACUAUCGUAGGCUUUAAGGUUAAAAAAUAGUGGGGGUUAUUCUUUGAGCUAAAGUGAUUAUACAGAGAAGAUGUUGCAUAGAUUUAAACAUCUUGUUUUCAAAUAUAUGAGUACUCCAUUUGAUUCCUGGUGGAGAGUUUUUAAUGUGAGUGAUAUUGGUCUUUAAUGUAUGUGAUACAUUAUACUAGACCUGAUAUUACUUUUUAUAUAUGCAAGUUGAGUAGAUAUACUAGUAAUCCAAUUAUAGAACAUUGAAAGGCUAUUAUUAGAAUUUUUUUUGUUAUUUUAAGAGAACCUAAAAUUUGUGAUUGUUCUAUAAUAAUUAUUCGGUUGUAUUAUAAAGAUACACCGAUACUAGUUGGAUUACAAGUAUGGGAGAUGAAACUUCUGGAUGAAUUUUCAUAUUACAUGAAUGUGUUGUUUCUUGGGCGAGCAAGGAACAAAUGUGCAUAAUUCACUCAACUAUAAAAUUUGAAUUGAUUGCUUUAGCGGCAACUAGGAAAGAGGCCGAAUGGAUUAGGAAUUUGUUGUUGGACAUCAAAUUAUGGCCUCAUCCUAUGCGUCCUGUUUCUAUCCACUGUGAUAGUUAGGCUACUUUGGCAAGAGCCUAUAAUAGCACCUAUAAUGGUAAGACUAAGACAUGAAUAUGUGAGACAAUUGAUUAAAAAUUGUACCAUAACAAUUUUCUAUGUGAGGUUAAGUAAUAAUCUUGCCGAUGCUUUGACGAAGUCUUUACCGAGAGACAUGGUAAUAAUGACCUCACAAGAAAUGGGGCUGAAACCCUUUAAUUGAAAUCACCAAUAAUGGUAACCCGACCUUUUUCUAGAACAUCACUAGUUACAAGGUUUAAUGGGUAAGAACAAGUUAUUGAAUGUGAUUGUUUGAUACUGACGUAGCCCUGAUAUGAUGAGUCAAUAUCGUCUGUUACGUUUUGUAGGUUGAAUUGAAUUCUUAAUGAAGUAUGAUACAAAUAUGUAAUGUGUUGAUAGUAACAGAAACACAUGGUAGAUACUUCACCUAUAUGAGCUUAGGAGUGGUGCCACUUCUUACAAAAGUUAGGGUUGCUUUCUAGAGAGCUCAUGAAACAGGAUUAAGCACAAGGCCAUAAUAGUGCGGAGUAAUAUAGAACUUCUCGCUGAAACAAGAGGUUAGUAUAUGUGCGGUAUGUCCGGUUCUAUUAUAUAAAAGUAUAAGUUUAAAGCCGAGCUACUUGUCACUUUGAUGGAGCUUCGAGAUACUUGCACUAAGUAAAUGUUUAACUCGAAAGAGACUUUUAUGUAUGUAUAUUAAUCUCACGGAAAUUUUGGCUGUAUAUUUUUAACAUUUUAUUUUUGUUUUUGUUUUAUAAACAAAAGUGGGGGAUUGUUGGUAAUUUGUUUAUAAAACAAAUGAAGAGGUGCCUUGUCCCACAUCGAAAUGAUGUGAGUGCGCACGUGGACGAGAUUUGGCACUAACCAACGAUAAUUAUUUUUAUUUAUUGAAAAUUCGGAUUUAUUUCUAUAAAAAAUUAAUUAUAAAGUCUUGUUGAAACAGUGCGACUAUUCACGAAAAGUUACAAUUAUUUUUUAUUUAUUUAAUUCCGAAUUUCUUAUGUCUUUUCAACGUAACCUUUGAGACAUACUUGUUCAUUUUACAACCUUUCCCGAAAGAUUGUCUUUGUUCUUUUGCAAUCUUUUGAAGAGUUGCAUUUAUUCGAAAGACAUAUAUAAGUACAUUUGUUUUGAGAUCAAAGAUAUAUCUUCUUCCAUUUUUUUCGUUUUCUUUCGAGAGAAAAACAACAGCCAUUGUUUCUAAUUGUUUCCCAUGAGAGACCCUGGAGAAAUACUAGAAUUGCUAUAUAGUAUUCUCACUUGAGACUUUGUUGUAUCCUGGAGGAAAUUUGCCGGUGACCAUUAGCAAUGUAGUGGGGCAAAUAAAUCCUUAAAGAAAGUGAUAUCACGCCUCAAAGUCCGACUUGAGUACUCUAAAGAUCCAACUUCAUUGUUCUACCCAAUUCGAAGCCAUAUUUUUCCAACAUAGGAUUGGCCCACUGGAUAGCAUGGACAUUCCGUUGGCUGUGAUGAACACCAUUUUGGGUGAAGGCGUGGCGGAUCUUCCCGACGGUAGAGUGAUCAAUGUGUCGCCCCCAGCCUCUUGGGUGACAGAUCCUGAGGAUGUGGGAUCGUCGAACGGGGCUGACUACUAGUCUUAGGACUGUUCCUCUUUUUGGCGGACCGAUCCAUGUUAUGUAGACUGACCCUUUUUGAUGCACAUAAACUCAGACUCAUUUUCGGUGCAUAUAGUCUCUGGAUCCUGUUGGUGUAUGUAAACCCUGAAAUGAUGAUGACGAUGAUGAUGUAUGAAAGUAUGUUUGUUUGAUUUUGAAUUGAUUUUCCUGCUGUCCUAUCCCGUAUGUUUUUGUUAGGGGUUUCUUAGCACGUUCCGCAUGCGCAUAAUAAUUUAAAAUUGGGGUCGGCGACACUACCUGGGAAUGUCGCAUUUACAUGCCCAUGGCGGAUUGUUCACGUGUCUCGGGGUUCGGGGCGUGACAAAACCCACUCUUGAAAUGACAUCGUCCCCACCCCAAUCCCCCCUGAUUUAGUUUGGUUAAAAUUCUUCUUCCACAAAUUAAUUUUAAAGAUUAAAUUAAAAUGCUCUAUUGUUUACUAUUCUAGCCAUGAGAUGGUUCCAAAAGUAUUAUUUCUUUUCUAGAACCUAUCAUGAACUUCAUGGGAGGAAGGUGACCUUCUUUCAUUCUAAAAUAGUUCAAUGUGUAGGAAAUUUCUAGGAAGAUCUUGUAAAUUGGAUUUUAAAAAAAUGCAUUAUUAAGUGUGGUUUCCAUGUGAUUUAAUGAAAAAAAAAUUAUCAAAAAAAUUAUAAAUCUAUUAUACUUGUGCCAAUUCAGUCUUGAACUAAUUUGACUAAUUUAGUCAUCAACGUUUUGACAAUUUAUUAAUGUAGUAUUCGGCCAAUUUUAGUUGAAAAUUACUAUUGUGGAUAACAACCGUUCUGCGUGACAUGGCUAGCGAGGACUCGCAGCCCUUGCCUAGUGGCCAAGGAGAGCUCUCAACUCUCACUUGCCACGUAUGAGGGUAGCGAUCCCUUGUCGGCCACUAGGUGACUCACAACCCUUGCCUAGUGAUGGGUGAUGGCUCACAGCCUUUGCCUACCAUGUGUGAGGGUAACAAGCUUUCGUUAGCCACUAGUUGAGGGCUCAUGGCCCUUGUUCAUAGUUGGGCAAGGGUCGUGACCCUUGUAGCCCUUGUUGUCCAAUGGCAAGGGCCAUAACCCUCACUAUGUGGCAAGCUAACCCAUUCCUCCCAAUGGCCCUUAACAAAAUAAUAAUAAUAAUAAUAAUAAUAAUAAUUAAUAAAAAUUCAAAACAUUAAAAUUUUCAAAAAUUUUCUGUGUUAAUGUCAGCAGUGCCAUGUAGGAUGCCUAGCAUCUAAAUCAAUAAUUGCAAGUUAAAUUUGAUUAGAUGGACUAUAUUGACAAAUUGUCAAAAGGCUUAGGAUUAAAUUGGUCAAAUUAAAAAGUUUAGGAUUAAAUUAACACAAUGACUUUUUUGGUAAUUUUCUCAUGCUUUCUUCAUCCCCUUAUAGUUCACCAUAACUUUUAAUCCCUGAAUACGUAAGCUAAAAAAUUGUAUGUGUAGAUUAAGCAUGUGAUAUUAGUCUAAUUCCUAAGAUCCUUAAGUAUAUGGAGGAGGUCUGGCUGAACUAGCCCUAAUUGAUGUUGUCGUCUGAAUAUGGAGCUAAAUGAUAUCAUAAGAAAGAUCAUGUUUGGAAAACUAAAAAUGAUAGGACCCAUAUAAGCUCCACACGAGUCCCACUAGAUCUAGCAAUCUGUAACAAGUAGAGAACGAAUGACGGCCACUUGAUCAUUGGUCAAAGCAAUAGGCAAGUUAAGAAAAAGCUCAUGCAGUUGUUGCGUCACAUACACUCAUCUCCAUGUGCCGGGGGUACCACACUUAGGCAUGAGGCCAAUUAAGAAGGAGCCCCAUGAAAGCAAAUGGAAAAAUCAUUACUAUUUUAUCUUUUUCGAUUGACAUAUAUUGCAUAUAGACAUGGUUCAAACUCAUUAAAAAAUAUAUUGAAUUAUAUUUUGUUAUUUACAUUCAUGACAACCUAUUCUUUAAAUUAUAGCUAAUUCAAAUAUGAUCUAGGUCACUAAAUAUGAGCUAAAAAGUAGUUUGUUGACCAUUUCAACGCCUCUAGCAAUGAGAGGCUUUCAUUUCAAUGGAAAGGAAAAGCAAAAUGUUAUCCAUCUUCACUUUGAUUUGUGCAGUCAUGUGAUCCCAUUCCAAAGAGAACUACCAAAAGAUGAGGAUUUGUGCAGUCAUGUGAUCCCAUUCCAAAGAGAACUACCAAAAGAUGAGGGUCAGUCGGUUAAAGAAGUAAAUUUCCUCAUCAAACACACGCAAAUACAUGGUAGGAUUGUGUGUAUUCCAAGCACAACUGGCUCAUCUUUUCAGGCAAGAGAGGAAGUAAUUUCCAGUAUGAACACGUUGCAAAAGUUGCCAAGUAAAGGACAUGAUUGAGGGACUCUUUUGAAAUAGCAUUGUGUGAAAACUAAUUUCCAUUGUGAACACCUUGACUUCAGCAUAAAAGUAUCUAUUCUUUUGGUUAAUGGGGCGGGAAAAGCAAAAGGCGAAGAUGAAGCAAAAAGUAUCACCCAUCUUCGAUUUGAUUUGAGGGGCCACGCGGUCCAAUUACAAUCUAAUUGCUACAUUGAUUAGCAAUAGUGGUGCCACUCAAUCGAUAAUUUGAGUGGCCGCAUGUAGCCAUUGUCAAAAGGUGAGGAUAAAGCAAAAGGCAUCGCCCAUCUUCAAAAAGUUAAUUUCCACUAUGAUUUGCUUGGUGACGGGAUCCAAUAACAAAUAGAACUAACAAGUAAAGUCUAUAGGGUCAUCUUGCCAAUUUUGAGGAAGGGAUUGUUUUGGUUGUCUUGGUCAAAAAGGUUAUAUUCAAAAGAAGUACAAUUGCCUCGUCUAAGAAAUGUCAUCCACCACAAGUUUGCGCGUCUUCUUUGGGGCAAGAAAAGAAGUAAAGCUUUAUAUAAAGUCCCAAGUGCUUGUGCUUGAAGAGGAGAAACGCCAAUCACCAUAGCUCACAGAUACGCUCGUUUUUGUUUUGAGAUGAAGGUGAUCCGCAGAUUGCAUUGCCUUUUGGGACUUGGACACAACUUGAUUUGCUUCGAGGCAACUUCUCAAACACUAAAAUCCAUCGCAGUAAUUUUAUCUCUACAUCGCUCCUCGAGGUAAGCCCGGCCUUCAUUCUCUAGUCUAUUACAAUUGAUAGGACAAACAUAUAUUUGAUUAUUACCCGUCGCAUAGCACCUAACGUCCUUUAAGGCAUACAAAAUAUCACUUAUGAACCUCGCCUUUUUCAAAAUGAUCACCACAUAUAUAUUACUAAUUUUUAUUAUAAAAUAUUUUCAUUUAAACUAAUCGGUUAUGAAUGGUUAGACCGAUUGAAUCGAGUGGAAAAGCAUGUUGGGCCUUAUCACAGUGUUGUUUGCAAAACAUUAAUGGUUGACUAAACUCCUUGGAACAAAUGACCUCCAAAGAAAAAGGGCACCCUCCUAAUAAAACCUAUGAAAGAAUGUUUUACACGUAAAAUGACUCUCCAAUGGUUAGUUUUCUACAAAAGAUUCCAUGGAUGCUGAUGGACUCGGCGGAAAUUGAGAAAGCAUCUCUAAAUUGCCUUGAUCUCUCUUCCGUUCAUGAUAUGUUUUAGCUUGCAUCUGAUUCCUUCUAUUAAAAAAAGCCUUAUUGGCUUUUUAUUGUUUAAGAGAGUGGCCGUAGAUUUACUAUAAGCUGAACUGCUAUAAAUCCAUUGGCAUAUUCUUCUAUUCUUUAGUCUCAUUACUUUAUCUGUUUGAUAGAAGUAUUUCCUCGAUAAAUUGUUUCCGCAUGUACUUUAACAUCCAGAAAAAUUAAUUUCUUAAUAUAAUUUAAUAGAUUAAGAGCUCUUCAUUCACGACCAUAGACACUCACUCGGUCACUUCCGGCUGUCAAAGUGAACUGUAAAAUACGGUCAAAAAGUGAAAAGCGAUUUGGUGGAAAGGUACUAAUAUUGGGUGAAGUGGAGUUUAAGAUGAUGAGAAAAAAGAGGAAAAUACAUUAAAGUCAAAAAGGUAAAGAAGAAAAGAAAGAAAGAAGGGGAAAGAAAGUGGGAAAAGAAAGGAGAGAGGAAAAGAAGGGAAGGAAAAAGGAGAAAAAGAGGAGAGAGAGGAGAGAGAGAGAGCGGGGGAAGAGAGGAUGUGUCGGUGAGAGGAGAAGAUAAAAAAGGAGACGGGAGGUUUUGUGCUGUGCAGGAGGAGAAAUCUAUGGCAAAAUUAAAUUUAAAAUCACAUUCAUAAUUACUAUUAGGUCCUUUCUUCACGUCUUCCCCACAUUGCCAAUUUUGUCUCUAACUCAAUUAACAGCUUCUAAAUGAUUUAUCAAAUUCUUUGACAAAAAUGAUUUAUCAAAAUCUUAUUUUCAAUAACCAAGUAAAAACUGAACCACUACGUAUAAUUUGAAGGAAUGCGAUAUACUUGUACAUGGAUUCUGGUAUUUUAUAGCCCAAUUAAGAAAUUAACAUACUCAGUAUGUGAGGGGACCAAAACCAACAAGAUUGACUGGCUACAUGAUGAUGUGUAAAAGAAGAUGAGGCAAGGACUAAAAGCAUGCAACUGCUCCUAGUCAAUCAAAAACUAAUUAAUUAAAGAUUUCAUGUUUAUUUUUUCCUGCUUGGUAAAAGAUUUCAUGUUCAUACUUGUUCAUACUUCAUAGAGACUAGUUAUAAAUCUUUUUAUGCAGUAGAAGAGCAUCUUUCUUUCCAACUUCCCUCGAUUGCCACCAUGGACAAUGGACAGAGUCACAUUGAAACAAACCAAGGGAUGCACCCUUCUGUAAUGGGGCGUUCUUUCUGGGCGCUUGUCGCAACGAUUCUUUUCUGUAUACUUGCAUUCAAUCUUCUCAAGAAGAAGAAGAAGAGAGCAUCCACACCUUCAUUCAUCUCUUCAACACCCAUAGGAGAAGGUAAUGAUCAUUCUGAUGUGUUCUUGAGCUUUAGAGGGUCAGAUACCCGCAAGGAAUUCGCCGAUCACCUCUAUCACAGUCUAGACAAGGCGGGGAUUGUACCGGUUUUCGUGUUCAGGGAUGAUAGGAGCAUUCCAAUUGGCGAGGAAUUCGGUCCACGGAUUCUUGAUGCCAUUGCUCGGUCUAAGAUUUCGAUCCUCAUCAUCUCCAAGAAUUAUGCUUCAAGCAAAUGGUGCCUUCGUGAGCUUAUUCAUAUCAUGGAUCAUGCGAAGAGCACAUCACACAAAGUUUUGCCCAUCUUUUAUAAAGUGGAUUCAUCGGAUGUGCGGCAUCUAAAAGGAAGUUUUGGGAAGGCCUUCCAUUCACGUAAGAAGUAUUUUGAUGAGGAGGAUAUCUAGAAAGGGCAGCAAGCACUCAAAGAAUUGAGUUACUUACAUGGAUGGGAGUCUGAGAAAGUUGCUAACGGGUACUUUGCUUCCACCUUAACUUUUCUUUUUUGAUAAGUAAGUGUUUGGAGAAAUUACCGAAAAAAAAAUCUUAAAUUUAUUGUAAUUGUGUCAAUACAUUCCUAAACAUUUUUAUUCAAUCAAAUUAAUCCUAGACCCUCUUAAAAUUUGCCAAUAUAGUCAUUCAAUCAAUUUCAACUGAAAAUUAUUAAUGUAAAUAAUUUUUUAUUAUUUGAAAUUUUUAGUUUUUAUUUUUUUCUUUUUGCUUCCACUCGGCGGCCUCCUUGAUGGAGGCUGACAGGCCACAAACGAGGGUCGGUAAGGCUUGCCCUCGCUGAAUCUGGCAAGGGCAACCUCGCUGGAAUCUGGUCCCUUUGAAGAGGUGAGGCCAACCCAAACUGAAAUCCCAAAAAAAAAAGAAGGAAGAACGUCAGAAAUUGGGAAUCCAUGAACUCAAUCGUUUGAGAACACGAUUACAUUUGCAGAAUAAUUGGGGAUGUCGCAAGCGAAGUGGUUGAGGGUGAGCCAUUGUCCUUCUCUUCCACAGAUUCGCUUCCUUCUUCGCCUUCGACUCCACUCCACCUACCAAAAUGGGGGACGAAAAUGGAAUCACCACUUCGUCGCCGUCGUCAUCAUCUCGCUCUUCUUUGUGUCUGUCUUUGUCCUCAAAGUAACAGUUUCUCUGCUCCGUUGCAUCCACCGGCGCCACCUGUGCCGUCCAGUCGAAGUUCGGCAGCACGUUCUGGCUGCUGGCGAACCUCCUCAUCUAACCCAACGACGGUCCUCUCUUGGUGGAAAAACUCUCGGUCUCUCCCUCCUUGGGAUUCUCUAUAGGACCACCAGAAGGACCAGAUUCUGGCGAGGUCAGCCCUCAUGGCGAAGCAGCCCUCAUCUAUGGCCGGUGACCGUAGAAGAAGAAGGAAAUAAAAGAAAGAAAGAAAGAAAAAACAAAAGAUAUAAGCAAAUUCAACAAAGUUCAGAAAAAAUUAUAAAAAACUAUAAAAAUACUCUACAUCGAUAUCGACGGUGUCUUGUAGAACAACCUGUCCAUGUUAGCGAUUUCUAGCCAAAGUUGGCCAGAUGGACUACAUUAGCAUAUUUUCAAAAUGUGUAGGACUAAAUUAGCCAUAAAAAAAUUAAAGACUAAAUUAACACAAUUAUAAUAAAGUCAAAUUUUUUUUAGUAAUUAUUCUGUAAAUUUUCUUGUUCAUGCCAAACAGAUGAAUUACAGUUGUCUUCAACAGAGCAGAAAUCAAAGAAAUGACAACUCCUCUGGCCAAUAGUGUCAAUCACGAAACAAUACGCUUAGAAAGGACUUGAAUGCUCAGGAUUUCAAAGCUUUAUCACCACCAGAUAAAAUAGACCUCCUCAUGCGAAUGGAAGUUGGCUCAGGUGAAAAGGACCGGACACUUCGCAUUUGGCAUGUCUAGGUUUGAUUUCCAUUGUUAGUAGACCCCAUCGGUAUCGAUUUGUAAAUCAACUAUAAGUUCUCAAUUUUAGCAUGUGAGAUGCCCUGGCCUUAGAGCAGAGUAACCUACUUUUCUCCUAAACUUCUUUAAUUAAGACAAAAUUGACCUCCUAUCAUUUAACGAGCAGCAAUCUUAAGCCUUGUAACAAACAUUACACUUCUAAAGACUCUUAACGAGCCAGGUGCACCGCCUUAUUUUCUUUCAACAAGAUCCGUCUAGCAAAAGAGAAGAAAAAAUGAAAUGACCGCUGGCCAUCAUCCCUCAUUUUUAUUUGUAAAACUAAAACAUCUUGCUUGUUAAUUGGUCCCAUCCAUUCUUCACAUGUCUGUCAAUGCAUUUUGAUGAGAUUAAGUAUAAUCAUGAAAUUAUCAAUGAGUUUUUUUUGUUGGACAGGCAUGAAGGAGAAUUAAUGAAAAAAGUUAUCGAAAAUGUUUUGAGCAAGUUGCGACAAGAUUUUCAGCUUGAUGUUACUAAGCACUUAGUUGGAAUUGAUGAUCAUGUGAACAGAAUCAUGAAUUGGGUAGACACUCCUACCACUAAUCCUCGAAUGAUUGGAAUCUAUGGCAUGGGCGGGAUCGGAAAAACGACUCUUGCCAAGGUAAUCUAUAAUCAGCUAUCAAAUGACUUUGUGCAUCAUAGCUUCCUUGCAGAUAUUCGAGAAACAGCUUGCCGCAAAAAUAUUGCUUAUUUACAAAAGCAACUAAUUAAGGACAUUCUGCAAAUCGAACCUAAAUUUUGGAAUGUUGAUGAUGGAAUUAGUUGGAUCAAAUCUAGAUUCAAAGGAAAAAAUGUUCUCAUUCUUCUUGAUGAUAUAAAUCAUGAGGAGCAAUUAAAUGCUUUGGCUAGAGAACGUAAUUGGUUUAUGGCGAAAAGUAUUAUUAUUGUUACAACCAGAUAUAAAGCCAUUCUUGAUCAAUGUGAAUUCGAUGUACACAAGUAUGAUUUGAAUGAAUUGUAUCAAGAGCAUGCUUUGCUUUUGUUUAAUAGACAUGCAUUUCAUAUGGACCAUUCUUCGAAGGACUUUGAGGGUCUGUCUCGUGAUAUUGUAUUCACCAUGGGUGGGCUUCCCUUGGCACUUAAGGUCGUAGGUUCAUACUUGUAUAAAAAAACGAAUUGAAAAGUAUGGGAAGAUGUGUGGAAGCAGUUAAAAAGCCAACCACAUAGAGACGUCCAAAAAAUAUUGCGAAUAAGCUAUGAUGCAUUAGAAGAUGGACAUCAGCAGAUUUUUCUCGAUAUUGUUUGUUUCUUUAUUGGCGUACAUGGCGAUCACUACUCUGCACGAUUCGCCAUGUACAUGUGGGAGGACCUUGGGUUUUCUCCAAAUCAAGGAAUUGAAGAGUUGAAGUUGAGGUGCUUAAUUAAAAUUGGAGAUGAUGGUGAAUUUAUGGUGCAUGAUCAAAUAAGAGAUCUUGGAACGAGCAUUUUUUGCCAAGGACAACCGCUUGAGAAAUGUAGUGGACCAUAGGACGACAACUAUGAGGGAGUCCCAAGAGUAGUAAGACAUCCACAGGUAAAAUAUGGCACUCUUUUUUUCUUUUUUUCUCUCCCUCUUAUUUAAUAUAUUUAAUCCAAUCUAUUCUAAUAUUUCAUUGAGCAUGAAAAGAUGCUCUUACUUUCUAGGGAAAAAAAUCUAUUUAAACAUCCAUUUAUGUACAUCGUAGAUUAAUUGUGACACUAAAUAAAUCAUAAGUAUCUCAAGGAUGAAAAAGUUAUAUCAUUGAUUCAAUUUCAUCAAUGUAAAUUACAUAUGUAAAAAUUUGUUUGGCAAUCAAUUCAAAAUCCUUUAACUACAAUUUUAGACUAUAAAUCUCAUUUACUUAAAGCCUGCAAUUGUCUUGAAAAUAUUGAUAAUCAGAAGGACUAUAAUUAUGAAUGAAGACGAAGUAUAAACAUCAUAGAUCAAAUAAAUGAAGAUUUCAUGGUUAAGAAAAAAGAAGGAGAUAGUAUAAUAACUGAUAAAUAAUUCAAAGCAAUAAGAUUGGAAAAAAAUUUCACACUUAUCACAUAUGUUUGCUUUCUAGUACGGCCAAAUGUAUUGUGGUGCUCUUGUGAUUUAGAAAUCGGAUGUUUGAUAUUAUUUUUCUCUGUUUUGAUUUUGAAGAUACCAGUCCCUCAACUAGUUAUUUAUAUCUAUCUCUUUUCAUUGUUAUCUCCUCUUAAUAGAUAGCAAAAAUCCCUUAAAAAUAUAUACAGGCAAAUCUUACCCUUUUUUAGGGUUUUAUCCCAUUGACCUUGCUUAUUUCAUGGAUUAGGUUAGGCGUAUAACAAAGAGCGGAUUUCCUUAUAACAAACAUCCCUAUCUGCUAUAAGUUGUUUUAUAUUAUUUAUAUUUUUUGGGCACUGCCUCUUUUGCGCCAAAAUUCGCUAGACUAACUUGACUAUUUUUAAGAUAAAAAAAAGAAAACUUGACUAAUCGGAGGAAAUGUCACGCUUAUUAUUAUAUCCAUAACCUUGUAUUCAUUAUAUAUGAUUUUCAGCAUGAAGCAAAUUUUUUCAACUAUGUUUUAUCUUUAACUUAAAUUGUCAAUGUUCAUAUCAUUUUAUUACAUAUUUUCCAUUUGAAAAGCUUUACAGUUUCAUGGCUGAUCAACGGCAAGGAAUUAACCCUAGAAAUUGACCAAGGGAUGUUGGGCAAACAAAGCAGCCUUAUAUUCUUGAUAUAAUUUCAAAUAGUUUGUUCCUAUGAUUUAAUAUCACACUCUUUUGUUGAUCCAAUAACUUCUUAGCAUUAGCAAAAAAACCACACCAUACAGGUGUUUGGAACAAUGAAAAAGAAAGGUCAAUUCUGUUUUGAAUGGACAAAAAUGCUGAAAGAUGAUAAAUAGUGUCAAAAAAAAUGAAAUGAUUGUACGAUUCGAGAGAUUUUGAUUUAACUUUGGAAAUUGAAAUGCUUGUGGGACUAAUUUCCAAUUGUCUUGACUAUUUCAAAUAUGAUUAUGCCUAUUUUGUUAUAUCCUAUUUCUUUAGUUCAUUUUGGUGAGAUAUAUGCGAAUUGUGUGGAAACUUUUGACGAAAGUUUGAGGUUUGAAAUCCCUUUCCAUACAGUAGAUUUUUUUAAUGUAAUACAUAGUAUAGAUCGAUAUACAAGCGAAAAUUAUCAAAGAUAGUGUGGGAUAUGAUUACAACAAUUUAGCUACUUUUCAGACAAAUAGACUUAACAGAAUUUAUACCCAUUGCAUUUCACUGGUUAAUAUUUAAAGCAGAUAUAACGACAAAUGUGUCUAACCAUAAAAAUGAAUUUCUAACCAAUUAAACUUUUGGGGGAAAAUAUAGGUAUUAUUAUAAAAGUCAAAUAAAGCCAUAAGAAAAUUUCUUUCACCGUCUGCAACUAAUUAAAUGAUCUGUUUUAGUAGGAAAGUUAAAUAGUAUGUUUUUUGAUUUAUAAGAUGGAAAAAGAAACGAUGCUAUUCUAAUGGAAACCAACGUAUGGUGAUUAAACAAUGUUACCACGACACUUUUUAGGUAAUUGGUUCAUUUUCUAGUUAUUCUGAAAGCGACUUAUUUUUUUCAAUCCUGGUCAAAACUACUAACCAAUGUCGCCACGUCACUUUUUAAACAAACUUUACCGGAAAAAAUGUUUCGAUUGUCAAAGAAAUGAGUAAACACUUCACGCAAAUAGUUAAUGACGUUAAAGAUAUUUAGAUAACUUCUAGAGAUAAGGAUAUUUCUUUUAAUUUUCUAUAUCUAUUUUGAUAAUGCAUAUCAUAUUUGAUUUCUUUUAAUUUCCCUCCAUGUAAACUUUUCUAUAUAUCUGAACAUAUUAAAAAUUCCUCCCCUUUUUUUCUCUUCCACAUUAUUACAUUUAACUAAUGAAAUGAAAAUAGGGUGCUUCCUUAGCUACUUACAGGUGGUCUGUCGACACUCUUUAACAAUCUUUUAAAAAUUAUACAUAAGUCAUUUAAAAAUUUACAAGUAAACAUUUGUAUGUUGCAAACUAGUUUUAUGUAUUUCAUCUUAAAUGAAAGUGAAAAUCCAUGCGCUACAAAAUUUUGAAAAAGAAGAAGAAGCAAGAGAUAAAACAUUGAGGUGCAUUUGCCUCAGUUGUUUUAAAGCAAUAAUUAUUUUUUUCUUCAUCUUUGCGUCAUUUGUUUAACUUUCAAAAGGUCGAAAAAAAAUAGAAAUAAAUGUGAGUUUACAUAUCCAUACAUGUAUAGGGGAAGGAUAAAAAGGUAAUCGUGCAAAUUCAAGAUUUAAAAAAAGCAAAAACUAAAAAGUGAAAAAACUUGCAGAGAUACCCCUGGUUCCGCGACUUUUUGGGGGCAGCUUCUAGCGGAGAUUCCAAGUUUUCUGAAGUGAGAUGGCUUGACUGGGUCGUUUGUGAAAACGAUGUGUCUCUUUCGACAAUCAACUUGCAUUUGCCAAAAUUAUCGGUGCUGGACUUAUGGGGACAAUUAGUAGCGAAUUGGGGAAUCACAGAGAAUUGGGAAGGAUGGAAUUCAUUAAUGGUAAGAUUGGGAAAAGAAUACAUCCUCUCUGUGAUCUUGAGGUUUGUUUUUUGUUUAGCCAAUCAACUCCUCAUUUGACAGAUUAUUCUCCUUUUGUAUUAGGCGUCAAAGCAGCUUAAAGUUCUUUGCGUUCAAUGUUUUCAUAAAUUAAGAUGUACUCCUGAACUUUCAGCUUUCACACAGUUGAAAAUUCUCAUAUUGAGCUAUUGUGAUAACUUGGAGCAUCUCCACCCUUCUAUUGGCGAACUCACAAGCCUCGUUACCUUGCACUUGGCUCACUGUGGAGGUCUCAAGGAGCUACCAGAGGAGGUGGGUGGAUUAAAAGAUUUAGAAGAACUUAUUUUAAAUUUCUCUGGUAUUACAGCAAUUCCUUCGUUUAUUGGUUCUUUGAGUAAAUUGAAGACACUGAGUGCCGCCUCGUGUAAGUCACUGAGAGAAAUCCCCAAUUCAAUUGGGGAUUUACAGAAUUUGCAAUACCUUGAGUUGGCUAAAACUGCGAUCAAAAAGCUUCCCAGUGGUAUUGGAGGGUUGAAAAAUCUGCAUAUUCUAGAUCUCUCAUGGUGCAGUAGUUUGAAAGGGGAAAUUCCAUGUGAAAUCGGUGACUUGCCUUCCCUCGAGGAUCUUGAUCUCGCUUGCACGCCGAUAUCUGACCUGCCAGAAAGCGUCCAGAAUCUUUCUUCUCUCCAAAGCCUUAACCUAAGGGGCUGUGAGGAGCUCCGGUCGCUACCAGAGUUUCCUUCGAGCUUAACAUAUUUGUCGGUUACUUGUCAGAGUCUUGGACUGCCACAGCUCCUUUGCUUCAUCCACCUAGAAACACUUGAUCUUGAGGUACGCCUUUUACUUGAAGACCUCCGCGAGCUUUCCUCAAUAACAUUGAAACUCUGUUUUGAGGAGUGGGAUAAGCUGACAUCACUUUCGCUUAGCGGACUCACACACUUAAAAGAGCUUUCAAUAAAAAAGUGCAGUUCCAUUAAAACAUUGGGCCUUUCAGGAUUUAUUCAUCUGAAACGAUUACGCAUUGAGCAUUGUGAUAGCCUAGUUGAAAUUAAGGGCUGUGAUAAUUUGGAGUCCUUGGAGGUCAUAUUUUUACAUUUUUGCAAGUGUUUGAAGAAAUUCAAGGCUUCUGGGUGCGGCAAUCUAAUUGAAAUUCAAGGUCUUGAUGGCGCGAAGUCCUUAGAAGAGUUGGAUUUUACAGGAUGCAAAUCAAUGGAGACUUUGCCAGAUUUGACGAGAUGUGAGAAAUUACGAUCUCUAAGAGUUUGAGACUGCAAGAAACUUGCUCAGCUUUGGGGACUUGAAAUGUUGAAUUUAACUUAUUUGGAUAUUUCUGGUUGUGACUCAUUGGAAGCAAUACCUAACUUAUUAUUAUAUGAAUGCAAGUGUCCCAAUCUAGUUGAAAUUCAAGGUCUUGACGGUGCGAAGUUCUUAGAAGAGUUGGAUCUUACAGGAUGCAAAUCAAUGAAGACUUUGCCAGAUUUGACAGGAUUUGAGAAGCUACAAUUUCUAAUAGUUCAAGACUGCAAGAAACUUACUCAUCUUCGGGGACUUAAAAUGUUGAAUUUAAUUUAUUUGAAUAUUUCUGGUUGUGACUCAUUGGAAGGAAUACCUAAAUUAUUUUUAUAUGAAUGCAAGCGUUUGGAGACAUUCAAGGCUUCUAGGUGCGGCAAUCUAAUUGAAAUUCAAGGUCUCGACGGUGCGAAGUCCUUAGAAGAGUUGGAUUUUACAGGAUGCAAAUCAAUGGAGACUUUGCCAGAUUUGACAGGAUGUGAGAAAUUACGAUCUCUAAGAGUUCAAGACUGCAAGAAACUUACUCAGCUUCGGGGACUUAAAAUGUUGAAUUUAACUUAUUUGGAUAUUUCUGGUUGUGACUCAUUGGAAGCAAUACCUAAAUUAUUUUUAUAUGAAUGCAAGCGUUUGAAGACAUUCAAGGCUUUUGGGUGCGGCAAUCUAGUUGAAAUUCAAGGUCUUGACGGUGCGAAGUUCUUAGAAACGUUGGAUCUUACAGGAUGCAAAUCAAUGGAGGCUUUGCCAGAUUUGAUAGGAUUUGAGAAGCUACGAUCUCUAAUAGUUCGAGACUGCAAGAAACUUGCUCAGCUUCGGGGGCUUGAAAUGUUGAAUUUAACUUAUUUGGAUAUUUCUGGUUAUGACUCAUUGGAAGCAAUACCUAACUUAUCUGGAACACGCGUCAAUAGAAAUUAUGAACUACGUCCUUAGUUAAGGUUUUAGUUCUCUUUGGAAACAUUAUCUUGCGGUCAUAAUGAUGUAAUAAAUCUUACACCCAUAUUACAACAGUGAGAAGAGUAAUGUUUCUUCAACAAAGGUAAAUAAGCAAUGAACAAUCAUUUUUCUUCUGAGAUCCAUGACCAACUUUACAUCAGCAUCUUCUUCUGACAAGAAGGCUUUCCAUGACAGGGUCUAAAUUGUUAGUCUUACAUAAUUGAAGGAAUGGGGGAGUUGGCUAGAAGCUGACGUGAUGCUUCAGCCAAGAUCAAAAUGUAGACCCAAUAGAAGGCAUAGUAAGAUUCUUCAUCCUUGAGAUGCCGGCAUGAGCGAAAAGAGAAAUUUUUUAGAAUGAUUUGCUCUACAACGGGUAUCUAUUUGAUUGAUUUUGGAAACUCCGGAUUUGCCUCUCUAUAAUUGCUGUUGAUUACAUUAUAGCAAUGUUUUUUGUUUAUUCUUCUGUUGCCAGCUUCUGUAGACUGCAAACAUAUAGCAACUUGCAAGGCAAGAAUAUAAAUACCAACAAAGAUAAACAGGAAUUACCCAAUAAUUAACAUUUCCCUUAUCAAAAAACCUGGGAUUUGAAAUUUUCAUCUAGAGGUUGAUGAACUUCUACUACUCGUUAUUGUAUACUACACCCAUAAUUUCCCAAUGUCCAAUGUUCAUAUUUUCUUUGAAAGAAAUCCUUGGCCAUUUUGAGUUCCUUUGUAAGUUCUUUUGUAUGUCAAAUUUGAUUAAUGGCUUGGGACAAACACCUUUUGAUUUUCUGUGAUGAAUGAAACCCCCGCCAAGUUUCUUAUUGUUCUCUUGAUGUCCCUCAUUAACCUUCUAAGAAGAGCAUCGCUUCUCGGAAUAUGAUGAACCGAGAUAAAAUAAAAGUCAAGGUUCAAGUGUUUUUGUUUGGUGACAAAAAAAGUUGUUGAAAGUUGUUUUGGCUAGUCUGUCAUAUAUGAAUGUAGACCCCCUUAACAUUACCAGUAGUCAUACUAUUGUUUUGAAAUAUUAUCAAGCAAGGUAAACUUGUGCUGCUUCUAUGACAGGUUUGGUUGGUCUAUGCAAUGAUCAAGAAUUACUUUGGGACUUCAAUUCAGUCAACUGUGUUGAUGACCUUUUGCAUAAUUAGACAAUUUUUGCCUAGUCUGUGAAAUGAGGUGGGAUGAGGGACUCAAGAAUUUGCUAAUUGGUUUGCAUCGCAUUUGAUCCUAUUGCUGCCAUGGAAUUGUUUUAUCAUCUGAUUUGGGUGUGGCUAGCUUGGCUGAGGAACUUCAAAUUCCAUACUUGAGACCAAUCAAAUGAAGAAAAUGGAUUUUGCGGAGGAAGCAUCAGCAACAGCUGAGGACCAUCUUGUGUGCCAACCUUGAAAACGUUCUAGGGGCAACUGGAGUGUCCAAAGGAAGGUUUGAUUUGUGUGAAUGUUCAAACAUUUGAUCUUGUCUCAACAACACAUACUUGAACGAUUUUAAAUGUACUUAUUUUAAUUAAAUAGGCUUUAUGUAUGCUCAUUAGGUUCUACCUCUCCAUUAAUCAAACACAUAGCUUCUGACUUUUUAUAUGUUACCCUGAUGCAGAGUUGCUCGAUACAGUUGCAUUCUAAUGAUGUCACUCCUGAACUUGACGAGGCUCUGAAGGGGGAGGUAUGCACUGCUAGUUGUACCAUGAAAGACUAACUUGUGUGUUGAUACUUUAUGAGCUGUGGAAUUUCACUUGAAAUUAGGACACAAGUAUGCAUGAUGACAAUUUCCUCAUUCCUAUCAGUUUGCUAGUGUGAUACUAUCCUCUAAAUGUUCUCAGAUAGGUUUAUGAUUUGAUAGGCUCAGCUCUCAUGUAUGCAGCAUUGAAUUUGUAAAGUUGAAAUUGACCUCCUCACAAACUAUCAUGUAUUGCUGAUUUUGCUAAUUGGGUCUUACAAAAUAACCAAGUAGCAAAUACAUCUUUCUGUUCUAUAGUUUAGGCACUUCACCUUUUCAACAUAAUUUUAUUAACUUCAAUUAUGUUCCUAAACACAAACAGGGAAAGUGUUGCUAAUUGCUUACUUCUUUUGAGCUUGUUGGUUUCUUUUUCAUCGACCAGCUAAUGAAGUCUCUGUUCAUUGUUGUCCAACUGCAAUUGGUGUCAAUGAUGUUUACGCAACUGUACCUUAUCUCUCAUGGUGUAAAUUGUGAUGCUAGGAUCUCAGAUAUCUUCAUUUAUUGAUAAUUAGUCAGUGCUAUCUUCCUUGUGUAGAUUGAAGCUGCAUUCCAUGAAACCCGGAGAAAGUCCCAAAAUACUGCAGAAAUGAGAUAUGUCAUUAUGGAAAUGCAUCAUGAAGUUCCUUGCUAAUGGUGUUUAUCAUGUGCUUUGUGUUGUUAAUACUCUUCAAAGGAUUCUUGAUAUAAAGCGACCUCUUCUCAUGUGGUGUUUUAGUCCUGUGCAACCUUAGGCAUUGUCCUCCCCUUUGGCAAAGGCUGAAUGACAAAUCACUUUCAGGAAGACUGCAUGUGAGGUUCUAUAUGUGAAUUGAAGCAUAAGAUGAGAUUUGUUAACAUGAUUACUAGUUCUUACUUGGCUGAGGAACUUCAAUUCCAUAACAAUAGCUGAGGACCAUUUUCUGUGCCAACCUUGAAGACGCUUUGGGGCCAACUGGAGUGUCCUAAGGAAGUUUUGAUGCUUGUGAAUAUCUGAACACUUGAUCAUGUCUCAACAGUAUGUACCUGAACGAUUGUAAAUAUAUAUUUUUUCAAUUAAAUAUGCUUUCUGUAUGCUCAUUAGGUUCUAUCUCUCCGUUAAUCAACUCUCCGUUAAUCAAACACGUAGCUAUUGACUUUUUUUUGUUACCCUAUUGCAGAGUUGUUUGAUAAAGUUGCAUUCUAAAUAUAUCACUCCUCAACUCGCUGAGGCUCUGAAGGGAGAGGUAUGCAGUGUUAGUUGUACCAUGAAAGACUUACUUGUGUGCUUAGACUAUAUGAGCUAUGUAAUUUCACCAUAAAUUAGUACGCAAGUAUGCAUGAUGACAAUCUUCUUCAUUUCUAUCAGUUUAUUAGUGUGAUAAUAUCUCGUAAAUAUUCUCAUGUAGGUUUCUGAUUUGAUAGGCUCACCUCUCAUGUGAAUGCGGCAUUGGAUUUGUAAAGUUGAAAUUGACCUCCUUGCGAACUAUCCGGUAUUGCUGAUUUUGUUAAUAGGAUAUUGUGAAAUACCCAAGUAACAGAUACAUCUCUCUGUUCUGUAGUUUAGGCACUCACACCUUUUCAGCAUCAUUCCGUUAGCAUCAAUUCUGUUCCUAAACUCAAACAAGGGAAGUAUUGCUAAUUGCUUACUUCUCCAAGUCUGUUGUUUUCUAUUUCAUCAGCCAGCUAAUGAAGCGUCUGUCAUUGUGGUCCAACUGGUGGAAAUGAUGUUUAUGCAUUUGUAACUUAUCUUUGAUGGGGUAAAUUGUGAUGCCACGUAUCUUGGUUUUUUUCAUUAAUGAUGAUUAUAGUCAGUGCUAUUCGUCUUGUGUAGAUUCAAGCUGCAAUUUAUUUAGCUCGGAGAAAGUCCCCAAACACCAUGGGAUGGAGAUGCGAGCAGGAAUGAGCUUUGUCAUUAUGUAAAGUCAUCCCGAAGUUCUAUCCUGUUGGCGUUUGUGUUGUUAGUACUCUUCAAAGGAUUCUGGAUGUGAGGCGACCUCUUCUCAUAUGGUGCAUUAGGCCUUGGCGAGCUUUGACAUUGUGCUAUUCUUUAGCAAAGACAAAUUGCUUGCUGGAAGAAUGCAUUUGCAGGUUAAGCAUAAAAUGAGAUUUGCUAACAAGAUUACCAGUUAGAUGUCCCCUCCAAGCUAUAAUUUUGUGGCAGAGAGAUUCUUUUCAUGGAAAAAGCGAAUGCCAUGGAAUUAGCAAAUAAUUUGUCAAUUGCAGGCAAGAGUUUCAAUGAUAAUGUUUCCAAGAAGACAGUAGUUUUCUCAUUUGAAAGAAUUAAAGUACUCAUCAGUGUAAAAUCAUCUUCCUAGUUUGGUUACAUUGAAAAUUCAUAUGUAAGGCAUUUUUGCAAUCGUUUUGAUCGUAUAAUCUCAACUUGAUUUAUUUAAGCAUGAAUCUAAAAGCAGAAGAGCCACAUCCAUGUGACAUUUUCAUAUCUGAAACCUAUUUUUCUCUGGCGUAGGCUACGAUUGAAGACUAUUGAAAAAUGUGGGAAAUUUUUGGAAGGGUGAAAAGGACCAUUCCCAAAAUUUACUCAUUUGGUUUGAACAAAAAACUUUAAAAGGGUCAUCUUAUUGGUUAAUAAUCAGACUCUACUAAACCAAAUUGUGUUAACCAGUCACGCAUUGAAGCCUUAAUCGAAGCAAUUUCUUUGAGGUCACUCUUUGUUAUUCCUGUACCCUCGUACUAGAUGACAAUGGUGGAAUUUUAGUAGUUGAAAGGCUGAAAGCUACUGGCAAGGUACUCUGUCUGAUUCGCUGCUUGUCUACUUGAACUUAAACUUAAUUUUUCCAGAGCUCAAACAAGGCCAAGUAGCUUGUAAGGCCAAGUAGCUUUUUAAGCCAAGUUCAAAUCUAUAAUUACUAACACAAAUAUAGUGUGGGUCGUGUUGAAAUACUUGUUAAACAUACUUAAUGUGAAAUAAUUAAAUUUUCAGAAUAUUGAUUGAACAUUUCACAAGAAAAAUCACAAGUAAAGUCAAUGUAUUGAGUCUACAGUUUAUUUAUUAAGUUGCUUAACCAGUGUCUAAGCCAUUAUUCCAAUGGGCAAUGGCUGUGUUUUGACUACUUUUAGAAUUUUAGUCACAACCUUAUCGGCUGAAUUGAUUUAAAAUUUGAAAACUGUGAAUCGACUGAAUAACUGGAUGAAGGUGUUAAACUUGGUGAACCGGUUCGGUUCUGCUCAUGAGUUUUCAUACUUUCCUUCUCCUUCGAUUUCAUGCCAGAGAUUUGCUUUGACCUUGUUUUUGAAAGUUCUAUCACAUUAUACAUCAAGAUCCUAUAAAUUACGACCAUUUGGACAAUAACUACGCAAGUUUUGAUAGAAUUAAAGAGGGUUCCCUUUGGGCUUUUCAGUUUCCACAUUUUUGUAACUCCGGUCUCAACGGGAUGGCAUUCGAAAUAUGAAAAUUGUCCUCAAAUCAAAAUGGAACCAUCGAAAGCCUUUUUGUUUAGCACGCAUGUCAUUUUAGAAUAUCUACUUCAGGAUUAUAUGUUGCCAUAUGAUGAAUCGUACAACAAGGAGGAAUCGAACUAGACAAAUUGAGGAAAUUAGGGGGUUAAAGAACCCCAGAAACAAGGCGUAAACAACAUUUUGGCCAAAACAAAAUUGUACCCAACAAAAUCGACCACAAAAUAGAUGGUAAUGUCAAUCCUAUAAAUACAAGUAUUCAUCCGGUUUUGCAAUCAGCAGCACAUUUAUUAGGAAAAGAGCUUACAGAAAAGAGGAGAAUUGAACAAAUCAGACAAAUCUACUUUGCAUGGGCAUGGAUGCAAAAUCCUGUUACAAAUGUAUUAGAAGGUAAGAAAAUUCAAAAAAGAUAAAGAAAAAUCCACAAAUAUAAAUAUAUAUUACUAUCACGUACGAGUCGUCUCAUUUGCCUAUAUUUUGAAUGCUGAAAAUCGAUGAAUGAAACAAUGAGUCAGAUGAACAUAAUAUCGGAAAGAUUGAACAUUUGCGGCACCCUUAUGAAUAUUUGAUUACCAUUAGAUACAUAUAAAGAUGAACACCCAUAGAGCACAGCAAAUCUCUCUGUUUCCUCUUUCUCAUCCUUUUUCUCUCUUGAUGACGAUGGACACGGUAUUCCGUAAUUUCUGCUAAUUAGAAUCGACGUGCGAAGGUCGAGCAUUUGCGCUUCAACCAUCGGAACCCUUGUUUGAAAGAAGCCUUGAACUUUCCUUCGACCGAAUAAAGCUUGUAUCUGGCCACCCUCCUCUUCCUCUUCUUCUCCGGAUCAUUCCACCACGAUGCUUUUAUCGCCGACUCCUUCGCGUUGUCUAGUCUGUGCGGGGGUGAAGUGUGUUCGAGCAUGUGAGGCCAGGAUUUGGCUACGUACAUCUGGUUUUGGUUAAGAGUUUGAAUCGUCAUGAUCUCUAGACUCUGGCCAACUCCAUGGGAUCGGUUGCUCGGCGACCACGUGUCCAUCCGUGUCCUCAAUCUCUCUCUAUCUCGGCCUCUCCCCUUUCUCGGAUGGGAAGGAUUUUUUUUUCUCACUUGAUGACCAUGAACACGUCUAUUGGUUUUCUGAGGAAGUUGAAGAAAUCGAGCGCUUAUGGUUGUGAGUCUAUGAGAGAAAUCCCUAGCUCAAUUGGGGAUUUACAAAAUUUGCAACAUCUUCAUUUGAGUUUUUCUGCGAUUGAAAAGCUUCCCAAUGUGAUUGGAAGGCUGAAAAAUCUACAGACUCUACAUAUCUCGUCGUGCUGUUGUCUGAAAAGUGAAAUGGUGACUUGCCUUCUGUCGAGAUUUUCCAUAGAAAAGUGUAGUUCCAUUGAAAGAUUGAACCUUUCACGAUUGAUUCGUCUGAAAUGAUUGCACGCUAAGCAUUGCGAUAGCCUAGUUGAAAUUCAGGGCAUGAUAAUUUGGCAUUCUUGGAGGUCAUAAUUAUAUAUGAUUGCAAUUCCAUUAAAAGGCUUCUCUAUCCAGAAUCACGGUGUCUGAAGAAAUUAGUGGCUGUUGGGUGCGACAAUAUAGUCGAAAUUCAAGGUCUUGAUGGUGCGAAGUUCUUAGAAGACUUGGAUUUUACAGGAUGCAAAUCAAUAGAGAUUUUCUAGAUUUGAUAGGAUGUGAGAAGUUAGGAUCUCUAAGAGUUCGAGACAGCAAGAAACCUCCUCAGCUUUGGGGACUUGAAAAGUUGGAUUUAAUUGAUUUGGAUAUUUCUAGUUGUGACUCAUUGGAAGCAAUACCGAAACGCGCGUCUUUAGAAAUUAUGAGCUUGAGCUGUCUUUUGACUUUUGGAGUGAUGUUUCCUCAACAGAGGUAAAUAAGCAGUUAACAAUCAUUUUUCUUCUGAGAUUCAUGACCUACUUUUCAUCCCCAUCUUCUUUUGACAAGAAGGCUUUCCAUGACAGGGUUCUGUCAUAAUUGAAGGAAUGGGGGAGUUGGUCAUACAUGAUGCUUAAGCCAAGAUCAAAAUAUAGACCCAAAUGUCAAUAGAAGGCAUAGUAAGAUUCUCCAUCCUUGAAUAGCCAGCAUGAGCAAAUAGAGUAAUUGUUUUCUCGAAGCUUUAUUUUAAUUUCUUUUAGAAUGAUUUGCUCUACACUAGGAAUCUAUUUCAUUGAUUUUGGAAACUCCAAAUUUGCCUACACAUAUUGCUGUUGGUUAUGAUGUAGCAAUAUUUUUCAUUUAUCCUUCCAUUGGCAUCUUCAGUAGACUGCAAAACAGAUUAGCAGCUUGCGAGGCAAGGAUGAAAAUAUCAAGCAAAGGUAAACAAGAAUUCCCCAGUGAUUUAACAGUUCCUCCAUAAGUAAACCUGGGAUUUGAAAUUUUCAAAUCGAGGCUGAUGAACUUCUGCUACUCAAUAUUAUAAACUACAUCCAGAAUUUCCCUGUCCAGAAUUAAUAUUUUCUUUGAAAAAAUCCUUGGCCAUUUUGAGUUACUUUGUGAGUUCUUUUGUGUGAAAUUUGACUAAUGGCAGAUGUCUUGUUUGAGACAAACAUAUUGGUUUUCCACGAUGAACAUAAACCCUGUCAAAUUUCUUAUUGUUCCCUUGAUGUCCCUCUUGAACCUUCUAAGAAUAGCAUCAAUUCCCAUUAAGUAUGAUGAAGUGAGCUAAAAUUAAACAUAUCAAGUGUUUUUGGUUUGUGAUAAAAAAAAAAAUGUUAAAGUAGUUCUGGCUAGUCUGUCAUAUAUGAAUGUACGCCACCUUAACAUUACUAGAAGUCAAACUAUUGUUUUGAAUAUUAUCAAGCAAGGUAAAUUGGUGCUGCUUCCAUGACAGGUUUGGUUGGUCUGUGUAAUGAUCAAGGCUUACUUUGGGAGUUCAGUUCGAUUAAUUGUAUUGAUGACUUUUGCAUUAAUGAACAAUGUUUUGCCCGUCGUGAAACAAGCUAGGAUGAGGAGCUCAAGGCUCAAGAAUUUGCUAAUUAGUUUGCAUAUCGUUUGAUCCUAUUGUUGCCAUGGAAUUGCUUUAUUACAUGACUGAUUUGGGCAUGGCUCACUUGGCUAAGGAACUUCAAAUUCCAUACUUGAGACUGAUCAAAAUAAACAAAAGGGGUUUUGCAGAGGAAGCAUCAGCAACUGCUAAGGAUCAUCUUGCGUGCCAAACUUGAAAAGGCUUUGGGGCUGACUGGAGUGUCCUAAGGAAGUUUUGAUACUCGUGAAGAUCCAAAACACUUGAUCUGAUCUCAAUGUCACAUCCCUAAAUGAUUGUAAAUGUAUUUUUUUCAAUUAAAUAUGCUUUAUGUAUGCUCAUUAGGUUCUAGCUCUCCUUUAAUCAAAAACUAAGUUGAUGAUUUUUUGUAUGUUACCCUGAUGCAGAGUUGUUCAAUGCAGUUGUAGUCUAAUGAGAUCACUAUGGAAUUGAUGAUGCUAUGCAGAGGGAGGUAUGCAUUGCUAGGCUCCUCCAUUUCUAUCAGUUUAUUUGUGUGAUGAUAUCCUCUGAAUGUUAUUAUAUAGGUUUGACAAGCUCAGUUCUCAUGUAUGUGGCAUUGGAUUUGUAAAGUUGAAAUUGACCUCUUUGCAAAUGAUCCAGUAUUGCUAAUUUUGCUAAUUGGAUCUUGCAAAAUAACUAAGUAGGAAAUGCAUCUUUCUGUUCUGUAAUUUAGGCACUUCACCUUUUCAGCAUAAUUUUAUUAAUUUCAAUUCUGUUCCUAAACACAAACAGAGAAAGUGUUAUUGUAGGUACGAGAGACUGUCCCAUUACUGUUAUUCCUGUGGAAGGCUUGGUCAUUAUGCAGCUUCAUGUCUAGAGUACCCUUAUGAUGAAGCACAAUUUGAUGGCCGUGAUACGAUGGUCUAUGGACCUUGGCUCAGAGCAGAGAUUAAACAAUUUAGCCCUUAUUGGGAUGCUUUUUAUCACCCUAAAGUACCACUUGAGCAAAUGGAAGAGAUAGUACCUGAAACUCCACCUCAAAUGCAGCCAGCCCUCCCAGCUCUCCCUCCUAUCCCUGCCACAGAGGAUGCUGCUUCCAUCCCUGUUAUACCUAAAGGGACUUCCAAGCAUCUUAAUCUUGUCAAUCCAACUGCUAUCACUACGGAUUUAGUACCUGCAGCAGCAAAGAUGAAAAGCACUCAGGUCCUUCCAGUGGAUAAGCAACAACAGAAGAGAUCUAAGAUUCCUCGCCCAAUGCCACUUGGGGGUUCCAGUAAGAAAACGAAAAGAUAUUCACCCUAUGACAUACAGCUUCCUUCCUCUACAGCUUUUGAUGAGUCCCUUCUUCUGGAUACUCCGGUUUUGGAGGCAGAUAUCCCUGAUCUUUGGGCUUUGGCAGCUAGCCCUCAACAGCCACUGUGUUCCCAAUGAAACUCAUAAGCUGGAAUUGUCAGGGGUUGGGCAAUCCCCUGACAAUUCAAGCAUUAAAGGCGAUGCUAGCCUGUGACAAGCCCGAUAUCAUCUUUUUAAUGGAAACAAAGAAUGCUUAACCUCUUGUGAAUAGGUUACAGCGUAAAUUUAACUUUACUCACUCUUUUGUGAAGGACCUAGUUGGCUUUAAGGGUGGUCUUGCUCUGUUUUGGAAUGAUCACUUUGAAGUUACUCUUGUACAUUCGGAUGCUCAGUUUGUUGAUUUCAUUGCCCUUGAUCCUAGGACAGCAGCCUCGAUGCAUAUCACUUGCUUGCACGCACCUCCAACAUAUCAGCUCCGUCAGGAAUUUUGGGAUACCAUCAGAGUCAUCCAUGCUGCAAAUCUUUUACCUUGGCUGUGUAUUGGUGAUUUCAAUGACUUCCUUUCUCCCUGGGAGAAAAUGGGCAAGAGACCUGCAAACACUUCGCGCAUGACCUCCUUUCGGAGUUUAAUCAAUGAUUGUGCCUUACUAGAACUACAAAGUAAAGGAUGCGAAUUUACCUGGUCAAAUAAUCGCGAAAGGGAUGCUUUGGUAAAGGAGAAGCUCGAUCGUGUGUUUUGUUCACCGGAAUGGCUGAUGUCUUACCCUUCUGUGGAAGUAUUUGCCCUACCACCUGUUGGUUCGGAUCAUUGUCCUCUAUUGCUGCAAGCUCGUCCACCAUCUGUUAAGCGAGCAAAGACUUUUCAAUAUGAAGCUUUCUGGAAUCAAGAUAAGGAGUGUCACGAAAUGGUUAAACAGGCAUGGGAAACAAGUAGUACCUCAUUAAAUUCUAAACUACAGGCAGUUGCUACUCGAUUAACAAGCUGGAGCAGAGCACGUUUAAGCAAUUGUCAUCAACGAAUCUCUCACUUGCAAUCUCAACUGUAGACAAUUAUAAAUAGAACAUAUUAUCAGGAGGGGGAUAAGGAGCAAGCCAAUGCUAUUAGAUGUGAAAUUCACAAACUAUGGACUCAAGAUGAACAAUUCUGGGCUAUGCAAUCACGCAUUCAAUGGUUGAAAUGGGGAGAUCAUAAUUCAAAAUUUUUUCAUGCCUACACUAUGCAAAGAAGACAACGUAAUAGAAUUACUAUGCUCGCGGAUACUCACCAGCAAUGGAUCCGAGAACCAGAACAGCUCAAAGAUCUAACACGGGGAUUCUUCUCUCAGCUAUACCAAUCUGUGGGCAAUCGGGAUUUUCGUCCUUUCUUAGAGCAAUGUUCAGUAGUGGUAACACCUGAAAUGAAUAACCACUUGAUGAGUAGGGUAACAGAGGAGGAGGUUUACCAGGCUACCUUCCAGUUGGGAGCUUCGAAGGCUCCUGGACCUGAUGGUCUUUAUGGCCUCUUCUAUCGGCAUCACUGGAAUGUUAUCAAAACAACCGUUAUUCAAACAUUUCAAGAGUUCUUUACAACAGGUUGUAUGCCUCCUAGACUAAACAGAACAAUCAUUGCCCUAGUCCCUAAAGUUCAGCAUCCAUAAAGUAUUGAACAGUACUGACCCAUAAGUCUUUGCAACUUCGCUUACAAGAUUAUUUCAAAAAUUAUGGCCAACAGACUUAAACCUUGGCUGUCUACUUUGAUUUCACAAGAACAAGCUGCUUUUAUUAGUGACAGACAGAUACAGGACAAUAUCAUGGUGGUUCAAGAAGUCAUGCAUCAAUUUAAAGUGCGAGCAUGCAAGAAACGCUUCAACCUUAUUCUCAAAACAGACAUGCAGAAGGCCUACGAUAGGGUUGAAUGGGAUUUCUUGGAAGCAUAUUUGAAGCAUUUGGGCUUUACUGACAGUUGGGUUACUCGGGUAAUGGCUUGCAUUACUACAGUCUCUUUCAGUGUUCGUUUUAAUGGUGAACAACUCCCUUACUUUAAGCCUACUAGGGGGCUGCGCCAAGGUGAUCCCCUCUCUCCAUAUCUCUUCAUUUUAUUUGCCAAUGCCCUGUCCACUACUCUCACUCAAGCUGUGGCUAUGGGUCAUAUAAAGGGGAUUCAAUUUAAUAGAGACUGUCAAGUUAUCUCACCUAUUUUUUGCUGAUGAUUCAGUAUUUUUCCUCAGAGCCACACUUUCUGAAUGCCAAAACCUUGCCAAUCUCCUAAACCAAUACUGUUUCGCUACAGGCCAGCUCAUUAAUAGAAACAAAUCCGGUGUGUUCUUUAGCAAACACUGUCCUAUUCCUUUACAACAUAAUCUAGCACAAGAACUCAGAGUCCCUAUUCUCAGUAAGUAUGGUAAGUACCUGGGCAUUCCCUCGGAUUGGGGCUGUUCAAAAAGGGAGAUGUUCUCCUGGAUCCUGGCAAGAGUAAAUGCUAAGUUAGCAGGUUGGCAGGAAAAUUUUUUAUCGAAAAGUGGCAAGGAAAUAUUACUGAAAUCGGUAAUUCAGGCCUUACCUCAGUAUGCCAUGUCUAUCUUCAAGCUUCCGCUGUCUCUCUGCAGAUUGAUAGAAACGAAGAUAUCAGCAUUCUGGUGGAGUAAACAUAACAGUCAAUCCGGAAUUCACUGGAAAAAUUGGUCAGAAUUAAAGUUUUCCAAAGUUUCAGGGGGGAUGGGAUUCAGAGAUUUAAUUAAUUUUAACAAAGCUAUGCUUGGAAAGCAAGCUUGGCGUCUCUUUCAGCAACCUCAAGCUAUUUGGAGUCAUCUCUUUAAGGGUUUAUAUUUUUGAUCUUCCUCUUUCAAACUGCUCCCUCCGGAUAUCGCCCUUCUUGGGGGUGGCAGAGUUUAUUGAAAGGUCGUGAAGCAAUUACUCCUAAACUACGUUGGUUAGUCGGGAUAGAUCGCAGAUACACAUCAGAGAAGAUAAUUGGUUACCAAUAGGUCCGAUAGGAGGCUUACCAGAGGAGGGAGAACCUGAACUAGUCGUUGAUCUCAUUGAUUUACAACACUCUGAAUGGAAGUCGUCCCUUGUUACUGCAUUCUUCGAUGUCUAGGUCAGUGCAGCAAUUCUAAAUACUCCUCUUAAUCCUUCUCUCUUACAUGAUCAACUCGUUUGGACAGCAACACCUUCUGGUACCUACACAGUGAAAAGUUGUUAUCAUUAUCUCUCUUUACCACAUCAGACACCAAUACAUAAAGCAUCAUCCUCUUAUACUAACCCAACCCUGUUAUGGAGGAAAAUUUGGCAUAUGCGCACUGCUCCAAAGCUUCGGGUAUUUCUCUGGUUAGCUUGCAAAAAUGCAAUUGCUACAAAAGAAAAUCUCUAUCAACGCCAUAUCAUCCCACAUCCCUUUUGUUCUCUAUGCAAUAAUAAUGUUCCUGAAUCGAUAGAGCAUCUGUUCUUCUUCUGCCCUUGGACUAACGACGUUUGGAAUCAUGAAGAAAUUAGAGUACACAUAUCACCUACCUCAGUUAGCCAUUUCGAUGCCUGGAUUGUCAACAGAGCUUCCCUCCCACAAGCAUCUCCAGAGUUUGAAGUGAUCGCUCAUGUUCUGUGGGAGAUAUGGCGGCAACGAAAUAAUGCCGUUUUUCGUCAGAUCCCACUGGAUCCUCUCCAAGUCAUCAAUGAUUCCCUCACCCAAAGCAACAUCUUCAAGGUUUUACAACCCUCGCCACAGAAGAUCACCAACAAAUUGGUCAAUUUAGAUCAGGGAUGGAAACCACCUACGGAGGGAUACAUAAAGUGUAAUAUUGAUGGGGCUUUUCGCAAGGAAUCGGAGAAAGGAUCAAUCGCUUGUAUUUAUAGAGAUAGUAAAGGUAUUUUAACUGAUGUGCUUACCAGAUUUGUGCCUGCAAAUUCGGCUUUCCAAGCCGAGAUCUAUGCCCUCAUAUCCGCUCUUCAACGACUGAUCCAACAGGAGCUCCAUCUUCAGCACUUUGUGAUCGAAUCUGAUUGCUUAAAGCUGGUGGAGAUAGUUCGGACGAACCAGCGGCCGCCAUGGACAGAACGCCAUCUCUUCGUGAUUCUAAGCGAUCUUCUUCAGCAAUGCCCUAAUCUCUCGCUUCAUCAUGUUCGGCGUCAGGCAAACCUCUUCCCUCCUUCUCUUUUCCUAAAUAUUAUCUCUUCGGACGCUACGGCACUUGAUUGUAAUGUUUUCUAAUAUAUUAUAAGUUUUUGUUGCGACCAAAAAACAGAGAAAGUGUUGCUAAUUGCUUACUUCUUUUAAGCCUGUGUGUUUCGUUUUCAUCGGCCAACUAAUGAAGUCUCCUUUCAUUGUGGUCCAACUCUGAUUGGUGUCGAUGUUUAUGCAUUUGUACCUUAAUCUCUCAUGAGAUGAAUUCUGAUGCUACAAUCUUGGAUAUCUUCAUGUAUUGAUAAUUACUAGUGCUAUCUUCCUUGUGCAAAUUAAAGCUGCAUUUGAUGAAAUUCAAAGGAAGUCCCCAAACACCACGGGGUUUAGAUAAGGGCAAGAAUGAGCUAUGUCAGUAUAGAAAUGCAUUUUGAAGUUCUUUGCCAUUGGCAUUUGUCAUUUGCUCCAUGUUGUUAAUACUCUUCAAAGGUUCUUGAUAUAAGCGACUCUUCUCAUGUGGUGUAUUAGUCCUUUGCAAGGUUGAAAUCGUGCUAUUCUUUAGCAAAGGCUGCAUCNNNNNNNNNNNNNNNNNNNNNNNNNNNNNNNNNNNNNNNNNNNNNNNNNNNNNNNNNNNNNNNNNNNNNNNNNNNNNNNNNNNNNNNNNNNNNNNNNNNNUCUUCUACUGACUAAAUCGGGCAUUUUAUUGACGUGUCUAUAGGGCUAUUCUCAGAACUGAUCAUUCUUGAGAUAACUAGACUAUCUGAGGCAAUUAUUAGGAAUUUUAAGGCAAUUAAACUUGAGAACUCGAUCAUGAAUCGACUUCUCGACCGUGUCCAUCUUUAGAGACCAUUACGGCACAGUUAAAAAUCGAUUUGAAAUCAGAGAUAGACUGGUUCGACAGAGAUGUGUGGCUAAUCGUGGGUGACACCACUAAAUUGAAAAAUUAUCGUUGACCGACACUAGACUGAUUUUCUUAUUGUUUUGGUGCCCUGUGUCCACAUUUGGAUCCUUGAGAUUUUCACGACAAUUGAGAGUCGCCAAUGAGUCGAGUGGGUUCAUAGUGGCUCGAAGAAAAUCGACCACGAGUCAAUUGCCUUGAAAAGUUCUGAAAACUACCCGGUAGUCUAGGUCACGCUAAAAACGCGCUGAAUGAAAAUUAACCACCAAUUCGAGUUCGAUUUCAGAAAUUGAAAUUUCUGUGGAGUCACGAGCUAUUUUAGGAACGUCAACUCAGUCUCAAAAGAUUUUCGAAGGUCCUGAGAUUUUUACGGAAAAUGAGUACGGACGUUGCGGAAAAUUAACGGAAAUUCGAAUAGGCCAAAUUAAAGAAAAUUCGGACUUCCAGGCCGAGCCUUUGAGUGUCAGGGACUUGCAAAGGAUUGUACGGGAUUUUUCUUCAGAGAAAUUGGACCUCAAUUUGGAGAGAUUGGAAUUGAAAUUGAGUUGGAAAGUAGUAUGAUGAAAAAUAAAAGGGAACAUUAGGAUAUUUGUGAGAGCUUUGGGGGUGUGCAACAUUGGUAUCAAUUUGGAUUUAAUGGUGAUAUUAUCUUAUUAGAAAGUAAAAAGGGAACAUUAGGAUAUUUGUGAAAGCUUUUGGGGGGACAAGCAUUUAAGAGAAGAGAUGUUGUGUUGAUCUUUUCUUUGGCUUGUGGAGCACGCACAAACGGCUGACCUCCAUCUUCUCACGCGGACGACCCCUGCCUCAGCCGAAGGUUUAUUCUGCUUUUGCUUUCAACUUUCGCUUCCUCCUUCCUCGAUCAGUCCCUGCCGCCUGCUCUACUUUCGGUAUUUCCCCUGCGAAGCUGCCAUCCGCGACCGAAGCCUCACGCUUCUGCCGUUCAAUCCUCCACGCGUCUUCAAUUGCUGCCGCAGCUGCUUCAAGUUCCCACGCCAGUCAACUCCAAGCCUUCUUCUCUUUAAUUUGUUGACCAAGCUGCUGCCAAGUUGAGCCAGCGAAGCGACGCUGAACGAAGCAACUCGCAAGCCAGCUCGCCACCUCAUCUGGUCUUCAUUCAGCGAGACCCACCGAGCGUUCUUCACUCUGCCAGCACACCAGUCAACACGGCAGAACGUUGUUGACUCCCCGGAGCCCACAACCCACCGAGAACUCAGCAUCCACCGAAGCUGCAGCAGCUUCGUGUCUUUUUCUUGUGCGGUCUUCACGUCUGCCGCUUCAGUGGUUCCUUCGCUGUUGGCAUCUCCAUCUUGUUGCUUGAGAUCGACCGAAGCAGCACACGCCAGCGCAGCAACUCCACGCGGCCAACGUGCAGCUGUUCCUCAAGUCUUCCAUGUGUGCAGCCAACGAAAACAACUCAACCAACGAAGCCGCCAUCUUCAGUCAACAACCGAGCUCCUCCUCUCCUUAGUUGACCCAUCGCCAGCACCGAGUUGAAGCCACGAAGACCGAAGUCGCACGCGUCCGCUCCUUCCAAUUUGUUGAGUCAACCGAACAAAUCCCCUGCAGCUCAUUUCAACCGCCGAAGAAAUUGAUUGGCUGAAGUCGCAGUACCCUCCAGCAAAGACCGAAGCAGCCCACGCAAAUUUCUCUUCGUGGAUUGCAGCCCAACUCUGCAGCCCAGCGAAGCCAAAAGUCUUCAGUCCACCUUCAGUUUAAUUGCUCAGCCCAUCUUCAGCAGCAUCAGCCCAGCAAAUUUUAAAUAUCUUGGGCCGCUCAGAUUCAGUCCAUUUGGGCCGUAAGUCAGGCCCAGCGAAUUCAGCUCCAAAGCCCAGCAAAAUUAGAGGCCGCGAGGACAGCCCAUUCAAGGCCCGUUCAGUCAAGUGAAGCCCAGUCCAGUGCAAGAAAAAAUCUUAAUUGGACUGAGAUUUGUUGGGCCCAAGUUUAAGGCCGGUCCAAGCCCGCCGGUGUUGUCGAAAGCCCAAUUUCGGCCGCCGUCGCGCCGCCAUCGUGGUGAUUCGAUCCCCGCUUUU
rnacentral:lncRNA from 1 species